UUCCACCAGCCUUUUGAUGGACCGGUCUGCCAUGAGAAGUUGCAUAGAGGUCGGUGUAGAGGUAUCCAAUCCAAGCUUCUUGUAGAUGAAAAAAGGAAUUAAGUUGAUGCUUGAACCAAGGUCACAUAGAGCUUUUGCAAACUCAUGCGUCUCGAUUGUGCAAGGGAUGGUGAACGCUCUGAGGUAAUCUUUCUUUUCCGCAACCUUACUAUCCAUGAUAGCACUACACCCAUGAAUCACCUCAAUGGUGUCACCUUCAACAAGUUUCUUCUUGUACAUUAACUUUUUCAUUAGCUUAGCAUAUCCUGGGAUCUCUUGGAUUUCCUCGAGCAACGGGUUGUUUAUCAAUAUAUUUCUAAGUUUUGCCAUGAACUUUCUCUAUUUAUCACCUUUCUCUUUUUAUGCAAUCGUUAAGGGAAUGGGGGAAAAACUUGGAUUGUAGGACUUGCUUAACUUUGUGGAUUUUUAAUCUCAACAAGUUCUUCAUCACUUUCAUUAUUUUCCUUCUUGACUUUGAGGUAACACCUCCUUUGACUUCACUUCAGAAUUUUCAUAAUCAAGUCUCCUCUAGAGGGUUCAUCAAGGGUCUUUCUACUCUUUGUGACAAUUUCUAGAACUUGGGCAUCAUUCUUUGGAUUAUUAAUCGUGUCACUAGGGAGUCCAACUCUAGGCCUAGCAUUUGGUUGUGUGGAGAUUUUCCUGACUUGGGUCUCCAAUUGCUUAAUAGAGGCAGAGUGAGACACUGCAGUUUGGGAAAGUUGAGAAAAGUCACCUUUCAACUCACGGACCAUUUUGUUCCUACCUUCUACUCUUUUAAGAUCCAUGUCAAUACAUCCUCAGUCUUGAAUUUUUUGGGGUCAAUGAUAUUUGAAUUUUUUGAUUUGGCCCGAUCAUAAAGCGGAAUAUAACGAUCAUAAUCUCAUUCCCCAUCUCUCCAAUCUCUAUCCUGAUAACGAUCAAUCAAACCUUGGUCCCACCUUGCCUUUAUAGGCGGGCCAGGAACACCUCGAGUAGUUAACCAAAUACAAGAUUUCCUCAUCCAACUUCUUUGCUUAUUCAUCAUCUUCAUAAGUUUUUGAUGCUAUGGUGUUGACCACUAUCACGGGUGCACCCAUAACAUGCUUUGUCAAGAGUGUAAGUUGGUUCAUAAUUUUUGCCAUGUUCUCUUCCUUCUCUUUAUUCUGCUUUAUUUAUUCAUUAUCGGCCAUGGAAUUAGUAGAAUGGAUCUUGGGAGCUUUGGUUUCUCGGGUAUAAUAAACCAAUUUUGCUUUGAUACUUUUCCAAUCAAUCGAAAGGUCACGUGGUGGUGCAACUUCACUAGGGAAACACCCACUGCAUUAUCCACCACCAUUUUGUUUAGUGGAUCAAGGUCAUGGUAGAAGAUCUUGAGAAGUAUCUUCUCUGGGACUCUAUGAUUUAGGCAUUGAGCCACUUAACAUUAAACCUCUCCCAAGCUACACAACAACUCUUUAUUCAUUUACGAAAAAUUUACAAUCUCAUCCCAUUUUUGAAGCAUUUUUAUGGUGGGAAAUAUGUAUCAAGAAACACCGUAGUAAGCUCAUCCCAAGAUGUAAUUGAGCCAAGUGGAAAUGAGCGGAGCUAUAAAAUUGCCUCGCCCAUUAGUGAGAAUAGGAAAAGGUAAAGCUAAAUGGAUUCUUGAGUAAUGUGUGCUAUAUUGAACGACGAACACACUUCCACAAAAUUAUUCAAAUGGACAUUUGGGUCCUCAAAGGCUUGACCCCAUACAAUCCUUUCAUUUACAACAUGUAAAGCAUAACGCUAGUCACUUGAAAGACCUCAUUCCCAUUAGUUGGUGGGAUACAGAUCGCACUUAUUUGUCCCGCUUUAUUUAGUGGGCCCUCAUCAUCUAGAGGGGCAUCAUAGGGGCCCAUAUUUCUUGCGCUAUCACACACUAUUCUUUUAACACUUUAAUUGCCAACAAAAGAUCAAAAAUAAAUAAUAAAUUAAAUUACACCACCCCAGGUAUUCCCAAGUAAGAAUCACACCGCACAAGUAAAAUAUAUAUUCCACUCCCCAGCAAUGGAGCUAUUUUGGUAAUGCUCAACUCACUCUAUAUUUGAGGGGUGAGGCAGUCGUUGUCAAUAUACCAACUAUAGUUGGGGUCGAAUCCACUAGGAGAAAAUUAUAAAUUUCAAGUCCUAUGGGCGCUCUAAUUACUAAAAGGUUACCCAAAAUGAUAAUAUACAUAACAUUUAUAAUAAAAUGGGGGGAUUGGUUUGUAACGAUUUUCGAUCAACAAUGCACGAAUAUGACACUUUUUAGUUUGAAAUCAUGAUUUGAGGGGAUCUUGAGAUUAUAUCUACUUAAAGGUAAAGCAUGCGGAUUGUUGAUGGUUUAACAUAAAACUUAAUUGUUAAGUAAGGGAUAGGCUAGGUCUAUAGUAAUUAUGGCCAAUCUUUCAAUAAAACCAUAACGAUUUUACCCUUUGAAUCUUUCGAGCACCUAACAAGUGAACAAGUUGUAAUCACCCAAAACCUCAGUCAAGUAUCCCUAUAUCUAGGAUGAUUCUCUUAACAAGGAUUACACUCCAAUCAAACUUAUUUCUAUGACUGCAAAAGGUAGUAAACCAUAGACUUAAUUGUCCACCAUUACCCUGUCCCCAUAUAACCCUCUUUAAAGGAUGUUAUGGGUUACCUCAAGUUCACCUUCAUCCAUCUUUCAAGGAUGAUGAAGGGUUUUUAGAGUUUGAGGUUUUCACCCAUCAAACCCAUUUGGAGAUUUAUGGUUUUCACCCAUAAAUUCGAACUAAUAAAUUCAAGCAAUUAUGGAAUCCAUACUCAACAACUAAGAAUCAUACAAACUGAAUAACACCCACACACAAUUAUACUUUAAUUCAACAUAAUCCCAAGACUAAUUUACUUAGCUACUCAUGAAGAAAGUAAGGAAAGAUAUACCAUAAAAAUUGCCUAAAACCUUCAUUCUUUACAAAAUACUAAGAAAUUAAGCCUUUAUAAUUAGUUACACAUUUUUCCAAUUAGGGUUUCUUGCUUUCCAUUCAAAAAUAUCUGUUAGGUAAGCAAUACCCAAAAAAGAAAGGUUUUUUGCCUAUAUAUGGUUUGGGAUUCAUCUAUGCAAUUUUACAAAACUGCCCUAGGUCACUUCCCACUGAAAUGCAAUCAUAGCUACACGAUCGUGAUUAUAAUCCACAAUCCUAUUAUGCUGAUCAUCUUGACUGACCACGACUACAACCCGAGGACCGCGGUCAUAGUAACUGAGGCUGAACUACUCCAGGUCUUCAGCUGCACUCCUUUUGCUUCCAUUUGACCAUAUUUUAGCUUAAAUCCAUAUCUUUUUACCUUAUUAACUAUAUACUUGAAAUAUAUUAUUAUUAGGGCAUUUAAAUCAUGAUAAUAUCUCAUUUUCAUAUACAAAGCAUGGUAGUGUGCACAAAUGUUUGGUGCAAAUGACUGGUAAAAUCACUACUCAUCAAUCAGCUCCAGGGUGCUAAGUUUUUCUCUAAGAUUGAUCAUUGGUUUGGGUAUCAUCAGUUAAAUAUUUGGGUGGUGGAUAUCCCUAUGACAACUUCUUAUACCCAGUAUGGCCAUUUUGAGUUCUUGGUGAUGUUAUUUUAUUUGACCAAUGCCCCUACGAUAUUCAUGGAAAUGAUGAAUAGGGCCUUCUAUUAGUUUUUGGAUUUGUUCGUAAUUGUCUUCAUUAGUAAUAUUUUGGUGUACUUUAAGAGUGAGGUGGAUUAUUCUAAUAACCUCUACACUAUGUUGCAUUCCUUAAAAGAUCAGUAGUUGUAAGCUAAGUUCUCUAAAUAUGAGUUUUGGUUGAAUGUCAUAUUUUUUUUUGGGUCAUGUUGUGUCUAUUGAAGGGAUCAUGGUGGAUUCUCUAAAAGUUUGUAUGGUUAAGAGGUGGCCUAGACCCACGAAUUCAACCACUAUUUUGAGCUUUUUGGGUAUAGCCGAUUACUAUAGCAGGUUUAUGGAGGAUUUUUCUUCAUAGCUGCUCCAUUGAACAAAUUGACUCAGAAUAAGGUAAUGUUCUUAUGGUCUGAUUCUUGCAAAGGUAUCUUUGAGAAGCUAAAGAUAAAUUGACUUUAUCUCUAGUCUUGACUCUACCUGAGGGUACCAAUGGUUUUGUUGUUUAUUAUGAUGUGUCCUGGGUUAGUUUGGGCUGCACUUUAAUGCAGCAUGGUAAGGUAGUUGCUUAUGCCUCUAGAUAGUUGAAGGUUCAUGAGAAAAAUUAUUCGACCUCUGGCUUAGAGUGUUUAGCUAAGGUGUUCGUAUUGAAAAUUUAGCAUCAUUAUCUGUAUAGGGUCCAUGUUGAUAUAUUUUCUGACCUUAAGAGCCUAAAGUAUGUGCCUAAAGCAUGUGUUCACUCAAAAAGAGCUUAAUAUUUGGCAAAGAAGGUGGCUUAAGUUAUUGAAGAAUUAUGAUAUGAGUCUUCACUACCAUCCAAGUAAGGCUAAUAUAGUAGAUAAUACUCUUAGAAUAUUAUCCAUGGGGUGUCUAGCUCAUGUGGAUGAGGGAAAAUAAGAAUUGGUGAAGGAUAUUCACCGCUUGUCUAACCUUGGAGUUCAUCUAUUGGACUCUGAAGAUGGUGGUGUAUUUGUGCAAUAGGUGGCACAAUUAUCUCUUGGUUCAAAAAUAAAGAAGAAACAGGUGUUAGAUUCUCUAUUGAUGAGGGUCAAGGAUGAUGUGGGUAAGCAUAAGGUGUUGGCUUUUGAGAUCGAUAGUGAUGGUAUCUUGAGGUACCAAGGGAGGUUGUGUAUUUCGAAUGUUGAUGGAUUGUGAGGUAUGAUUUUAACCGAGGACCUUGAGUCGCGGUAUAUGGUUCAUCUCGAUUAGAAAAAGAUGUAUCAUGAUCUUAAGGAUAUUUAUUGGAGGAAUAAAAUAAAAUAAAAUAUAGCCGACUUUGUAGCUAAAUGUAUGGUGUAUUAGCAAGUGAAGGUGGAACACUUGAGACCCGAUAGGAUACUUCAAGAGAUUGAACUACCAGUGUCCAAAUGGGAGGUAAUUGAUAUGGAUUUUGUUAUAGGCCUUCCGCGGUCAUGAAAUCAGUAUGACUCCAUUUGGGUCAUCGUGGAUUGGAUGACCAAGUUUAUUCACUUCUUAUGAUUGAGGAAUACUUAUUCUGUCAAGGAUUAUGCAAAGUUAUUCCUUUUAGAAAUUUUAAAAUUGCAUGGUGCGCCUGUCUCGAUUAUUUCAAAUAGUGGUACUCAAUUCUCGUUAUAUUUUUGGCACUCUUUUUAGGGUGGUUUGGGGACUAAAGUAAAUCUUAGUACGACUUUCCACCUGCAAUCAGAUGGGCAAGCCAAAAGGACUAUUUAUACAUUGGAGUAUAUAUUGUGAGCAGGUGUGAUUGAUUAUGGUGGUAGUUGGUUUGACAAUUUUCCUUUGAUUGAGUUUUCUUAUAAUAAUAGUUACUAUUCUAGCAUUGGUAUGGUCCUGUUUGAGGCAUUAUAUGGUAGGAGGUAUAGUUCUCCUAUUGGGUGGUUUGAGGUUGGUGAUAAAGAUUAUUGCCUCGGACUUGGUUCACCAAGCAUGGAGAAGGUGAAGGUGAUUUGUGAUAGGCUAAAAUCACACAAAGUCGCCAAAAUUCCUAUAUAGAUAUAAGGUGAAGGGACUUAGAGUUUGAGGUUAGGGAUUGGGUAUUUUUGAAGGUAUCCCCCAUAAAGGGAGUGAUGCGGUUUGGGAAGAAGGGAAAGCUCAGUCCCCAAUAUGUUGGUUGUAUAUGGUUUGGGGAAGGGUUGCUAAUGUUGGUAUGAGUUGGAAUUACCCUACAGUAUGAGUUCCAUUAAUCCGAUAUUCCAUGUGUUUAUGUUGAGAAAGUUCGUGGGUGAUCCUUUAUUGCUUGUUCCUUCAAAAACCAUUGGUAUUUCAGAUUCUUUGUCCUAUGAGGAGGUCUGGGUGAAGAUCUUGGAUUGAGAAGUUUAUCCAUUGCAAUGAAUGAUGUGGCUUUGGUGAAGGUUCUAUGGCAGGACCAAAAGAUCGUGGGAGCUACUUGGGAAGCUGAUGAGGACAUGAAUUCAAAGUAUCCAUUUUAUUCUCAAUUCACGAAAGUCGUUCUAGAUGUAUGUGUUGUUCUUAAUACCAUGUUUUCUAUCUUGGUUAAUGGUGGAUUAUUAAUUCCUUAGCAUGUUGUUUUCUGUGCUAAAGGUAAAAGUAGAGACAUUUAAGGGUCUAAUCGUGCCUGUAUUUCCCGGUCUCAUCAUUUGAGGAUAAAUGAUCGUAAGUGGGGAGACUGAAACACUCCAAACUUUAGCCUUAAAAAUGUCUUGUGUUUUGAACCCAUAUAAUCAUUAUACAACUUACACCCUUGACUCAUAUGGUGUAGGUACACGUCUAGGUUACUAGUAGUAUGUUGGUCAGUGCCAUAUUGGUCAAGUUAUGUUCAUGAUAUGAGAAGAUUCCAUAUGAGUCGCAUGUACAUGAUAUGAGAAGUAUAGUGCCAAACCAUAUGUUGUCCAGUGUCUAGCCUUUUGAUAUUCUGCUUAGUGUAAGACUUGAAGGUUACUAGUCGUACCUUUUGAUAUUGUGCUUAGGGUACGACUUGAAUGUUACUAGUCGUAUGGUUAGGGUACAAGUUAGGCUAAGGAGUCGUAUGUUGGAUAAAAUAUUAUGUCCAAUAUUCUGAUCAAGGUAUGGAUAGAAGGUACCACUCGUAUGAUGUGGAUACGAGUGGAGGGGUCUAACCGUACCCUCAUGUAGGCUUUUUACAACUUAUAAGAUGAGGAUAUUCUGGACAUUUACCACCCCAAGACCUUAAGACCCAUAUCUUAUUACACUAUUUGGUCCCUCAUUCUACAUAUUAGAAGCUCAAAAUACUCUCUAAAAACCUCUCAAGGAGAUUGAGCUAGGGUUUCUUCAAGGUGGUCAUCUAGAGGCUUAAAGAUCAAAAUCUAUCUAUGAAUCUCCAUAACUCAUGCAUAUAACUCCUCCAUCAUUGUUAUUUUUCAAAAAAAUCAUGUGUUUUAAUCAUAGUUCUUGAAUCAUAAAUGUUUGUUUUGAGGGUUUGAAUGCAUAUUGUUGAUUAUUGUUUUCUCAUGAUUUUACUUGUGUUUAUCUUGUUUUAGUAAUGAUUACGCACAUGUGGGUCAUGGGAAUUGUGGUUUAAUGAAAGGGGUCAUGGUUAAACCUAACUUGAUGGUUUUUGACUUGAAUAAUGGUUUGAUAAUGGUAUACCCUCAACCUAUUUGUGAAAAUACCUAUGAGAAGAACCUUAUCAUUUAAUAACUUAUGUUUUGAUCUAUGGCUUGGCAUAAGAAUGUUAAUGAAUAAUGAAUUGUUUGUAAAGGUAUUAAUUGACCAUUAAUUGAUGAAAAUAUGAUUUGAACUAAGGCAUUGUCCUAUUGAUGUAAAUGGUUGGUAAAUGGUUUCAUAAAAGCCUUGUUGGCAAUAAGUUGAUUUUUAAUUAUAACCUAGGUGAUUUAAAUGGCGAAAUGGGUUCAAGUCCCUAAAUGUUAAAUUAAAUUGAUGUUUUGCAUGGAUAAUGGGUUCGAGUUAUAAUGAUGAAUAAUAAUAGUUAUGGCAUAUUGUAUGUUUGCAAGAAGGGUUUGUGUGAUUAUACCAACAGGAUGCCUUCGGUAAGUAAUUGUACUAAUGGUUGUGUGUAUGUGUAAAGAAUGUUUUAAUUAAGGUUUAAAGUGGGAUGUGUUGUCAGGCCGUGAAAGUGGAGUCCAAAAGAGUAACAUAAAAAAUUGCGCUAGAUGGUGUGGGUGUCUAUAUGAUCAGGAGGUUUGAGUCCCCCGAAUGGAUAUAUGAAUGGGAGGUUUGAGUUCCCCAUAUCAAAUACAUUCAUGCUUUAGUCACCUUGAUUAUGCCGGGAGGUUUGAGUCCCUCAUAGUGCCAUAUAUGGUUAUGGAUAUUUUGUGGUUUGUGUGGCUACAUGCACUGGGGCCCUUCCAGCUGGGGAGAGUUGGGCCCAUAUAGCCCGUGGGUGCCUGUUAUAUAAUGGUUAUGCUACAUAGCCCAGAUUAAUAUUGUCAAAGUUCAUACUAAGGCUUGUUCCCUAUCCCAACACUAUCUAUAUAUAUGUAUAUAUGUGAUUACAUAUGAUGAUAUGACUUGGCUUUAAAUGAUGGAUUUAUUUUUAUCCCUCAAUCCUAGAGUUACGUGCUUGCGCUCCAACUUUUAACUAUCUUUGAAUGUUGUAUCCCCACGUAAUGUAGGUCCCAGAGCUUCUUGUUCCUUUUCUAUGUAGUGACAAAGUAUUUGACUUAUCUCAUGAUUUGAUAUUGAAGUGGUGAGCAUUCAUACUAUGGAAGACAUUAAUUUUAGAUUCUUUAUAUUUUAUGUUUCAGACUUUGUUUAGAAUUGGUUUUAGCUAUGUUCGAGGACAUGUCCCGACUGGAUGCUCUUUAGAUUUGAUGAGAGGCUUUGUUAGACUACAGUUGGUAUGGGCGGUGUCGGUAGUGGUAUUAGAUUUGGUAUUGGUAUUAGCAUUAAAACCGAUGACCAAUAGCAUUGGAUAUGUUUAUACUUUGAUUUCUUUAUAUAACUACACUCGUAUCAUGUUAUGUGUUUGGAAUUCAUCAGACUUUAAGGUUUUUGUGUUGGCUAGGUUAGGUGGAGGGGGUGAUUUUCGGUUUAUGUGGGACUUGGGAUACCCAUCACGGCCAGAACCUGUUUUAUGUCAUGAAAAAUAGCCCAUGGAUUUUGUAUUGGUUAGUUUAUCUUGGACAUUGAGUCCUUAGUUUUCUUUGAGAUUCAUAGAUGAUAUUCUAAAUGGGAAUAGUGUACUUGAGCUGGAUUCAGCUUUGCUUCAUUCUCUAUUAAGGGAACAUCCGUGAGUGAAUUGUUCAGUGGUAAGAAUUUGUGUCUUGGACAUUUAGAUUUCAGUUGUGAUUAGCAUCUGGACUAGUGUAGCAUUCGAUUAGAUUACAUUCAUAAAUUAUCUCCAUUUAUAUGCCCAUAUAGCAACUUAUUGACUUAUUAUAAUGUUUUUCGUAUGGAUUCCCAGUGGAUCAGCUUCAGUUCCUUGAGUUUUAAGUAAUGAGAUUGCACGAACAGGACUCAGGUGAUUUUCUUCUUGGUUUGGAGUGAAUAGCAGGUAUGGAAUGGUAAAAGAAGGUUAAAUUUAUAUUUGGAGUUGGUCGUAUGCCUCAUGCCUUGAUUUUCUUUAUGUUGGGAUGGGCCUUUAUUGGAUUGUGCUGGUAUCAAUAUGGUAUUAGUGUGUCGUGGUUUGAAUUUGCAUGCAUUAGCCUUUCUUGAUUCAGUUAGAGGUCGAUUGGUGGUUGAGGUUGAGUUUUGGUGUGAUGAUCCUUUAGGUCAUUAUCCACAUUUUAGUAUAUUUUCAUUGUUAGAAAUUUCUAGUACUUCCCUAAGUAAUUUAUGAUAUGCUGGGACUCAUAGUUUAGUUACCGAGCAGUUCAUUUGGUUUUUAUGGUAAGUUUCCUAUUUUGAUGUCUUUGUUGGUUCCAAAUAUCCACCAGGUGAAAAAUUUAGUAAAAUGAUCUUGUAUGCAAACUCUAACUACACCAGCAACUUCAGAAUGUCAAUUUUAGGAAAAUUAGACAUUUGGUUUGGGUCUCGAGGAACUCAAACUCAUUUUGAACUAUUGGAAAAAUGGGUAUGGGAAAUAUAUUUGGUCAAAACGACCUCGAAUGGAAAAUCCAAGUGUGUCAUCGUAUCCAUAAUGUCAAAUUUAGUAUGGUUACAUAGUUUGUUUGCAUAUGCGGGAUUCCAAAUAAUUCUCGAGAGGUUGGUGGUUCUAAGUCUAUGCUGCUAUCUGGUGCAACGACGAUCACUAGACAAGGGAGGUACCCUUAGUAGGGGAGAUGGUACGAUUGUGAAGCCUUUCAUGAUCGUAACUCCCAUGACAGGCAAGAGGUUAUGCGAUCACACACAUGCAUGUCGCGGUAGUUACUACCGAGGCAAUAGACAGAGUAUUAAUUGAGUCGUUUUCCAUGAUUUUGGGUUAUUUUUCAUAAUUUCCUUAAGAGAUAAACACUGAAAUAGUGUGUAAGCUUAAAGUUGAAGCUUGUGGGUGCUUGGAAAGUUAGAUUAACAUCCAUUUCUUGAUUCUCCUACGGAUUUAAGGUAAGAAUCCUAUAAAUCAUGGUUGAGUUUCUUGGUUAAUUUCUCAAAACCCCAAAACCUUUAGGGCAUGAUUUUAUCCCUAAUUUAGCUUGGUUUUCACCUAUUUUUAAGGGUAAUGAUUCCCUGAGCCUGAUAUUAUGUUGGGUUUAUUUUGAAAAUAUGAUAUCCAUAAGUGGGUUCCAAAUGGAGAUUUUGAGGUAAUUUUUGCACCCAAACCACAAUGGUGAAAUAUAGGUAUUGGUAUUCUAAUAUUGAUGAUUAGAAUGCAUUUUUGAUAACUUGACAUCUUUAGGAGGCUUCUGAGAAGGGACAAGCUAAGGUUUAGUGGUUCGUUGAGCUUUCUUCGGCAUUGAGGUAGGCUAGGUUUAUCCUUUGUUAUAUUGAGCUAUGUCAUAGUAUGUUUAUGACAAUUUAUUUGAUUUGGGAUGGGUUAUAGGUGUUGGAUUAAUGAAAUACAAGAGUUGGGGUUAGUUGGAUAUUUGGGCUAAUUUAAAAUUGUAUGUUUGAGACACUUAGCUUGUUCCUUGUAUCUUGGAUGAAUUAUGCUUCAUUACUCAUGUUUAGCAUUAGAAUGCUUAGGUUUCUCUAAACUAAGUAAAAUGCUCUAGAUAAUCAUGCUUAGGGUAUGAUUGGUUUUAGUUUCUUACACUAACAAAGGUUGCCUUAGUUUUUGUUGGACAUAGCUAAUGUAUUAGGGAACAAUCAUUACCUUAGGAAAAAUUGUGGUUUUAUAUACAUCCAAAAGUUGAUUUAGAUACCUUAAGCCUAGUUUGGGUAGAUUUGGUAUAAAAAGUAACUUACGGAUUAAAAGUGGACUCUUAAUCAAAUUUAAGGUAUGACACAUGUUAGUUUGUAAACCUUUACGCUUAUUAGACUCUUGGAAAUAUAUAACGAGGUAAUAUUGAGAAAUAUUGAUACUUGAUGGCUAUGUCAGAUAAGGUGGGGGUUGUCGCCUAUUGUAUAUGCUAUUAUUUAUGCAUAUUGAUGAUACUAUUUAUGAUGUGGAUAUUGAUUAUAUUUAUCGAUUUGAAUAUGCUAUUAAUUUUAUUUACUGGUUUGCGUCCGACUAUUAAUUAUUUUCCAAUUCAAGUCUAGUUAUGGAUUGUUUACUAGUUUAAGUCUAGAUAUUUAAUAUAUACAAGUUUAAGUUCGGCUAUUGAUUUUAUUUAACAAUUAUGAGUUCGAAUAUGCAUAUUAGGCUAUGACGACAUAUAUUUUUAUGAUUAGUGAUAUUAGGAUGUGAGAUUGAAGGUAGUAAUUUGACUAGGUUGGAAAAUUGAGGAAAUGGUUAUAAUGUAGUAUGACAUAAAUAAGCCCUAGUAAUUAAAUGAAUUGGCUAAUUAGUGAUGAUUACCAAAUAAAAUGGUUAUUAGUGAGCAAUGAUAAUAGAGCUGUUAAAUGAUGAUAACAUUAUGGAAUAUUGAUAAAUUGUGGAAUGAUGGUUAAAUGACAAUGAAGGAUAGUUAUAAUGUCAGUUGAUUGCUUAUUGUUCUCUUGAGUGUACUCUCUAGUCGUAUGGUGGUUGUGAUGAGUUCUUUACUUUUCUGUACCAUGGGAGAUAAUUUUGUAGUUUGUGAUUGCUUGUUAUUAUUCUGGUUAUUUACAUAUUAUGUGUUGCGGUAUUGGAGAUGAUUCAGGUUUUUUUCUGUACCCUGACUUAGUUAUGUUAUCUUGUAUUUUAUCAUACUUAUAUCAUGAUUUAGCUUAGUUGGCCAAUGAUGCCUACUAAGUACCAGUUGUUUUGGUACUUAGACUACACUUCUGUAUCUUUUUGGUGCAGAUCCUAGUACUAACUAUCAUCAUUGGUUAUUGUUUAUGUAGUAACUGAUUUUUGGAUAUAGGGUGAGUUCUUGGAGUUUGAGUCGACCAUAUUGCUCUAUCUUUUAUAUUCAGUCUUUUUAUUUAAGACAAAUGUAUUGAAUAUUCUAGAAUUUGAGUUGUAUUAAUACUAUUAGAUGCUCUUGUACUGGCUCUACAAGGUCGUGGGAUUGGUAUAAUGUAUUGACUAUUUAUUUUAUCUAGACCCUUGUUAUUUAUAUAUUAUGUUCAUGCAAUUUCAUUUAUGUUAGGCAUUAUCUACUGAAUUAACCAAUUACAUCAGAUGCGCCUUAUAGUUUGGCUUACCUAUUGGUAAGAUUGGGUAGACGACAUCAUGACUCGUAUAAUCGGUCAUGACAAAUUGGUAUCACAACAUAGGUUUUACUGGUAUUGUUAGUACAAGAGAAAAUGUCUAAUAUAGUCCUGUAGAUCAGAACAUUAACAUCUAUUUCCUAUCUAUGAGAGGCUGUAGGACAUUCUUAAGAGUUCUUCAUUUGUUUCACUCAUAUCGUGCUAAGAGUUUGAGUUGGUUUGUAGAAGUAUUCCCUUAACUUUACUCUUUCGCAAAUGGCCAAGUACACGUGUACCACUACCCGGGGUGAGUGUCUCGAGACGAAACCUAGGGAUCCUACUAAUAUUCAUGGAUGACCCAGAGGUUAUGGAUAGCCUGGAGAUGUGUGUUCCUUCCUAGGGGUCCUCUACCAGACCCUAUUCCUGCUCCUGAGCAAAGAUUCUUUGCCCUAGCCAUUAGUGGGCCGCGAUCCACCAGGGGUUAUUUCAUCUUUAGUUCUCAGUUAUGCUUCAUUUUAGCUUUUGGGGAUAAUUGGUGGUGUGUCGUCUAAUGGUGCUAAUUCUAUUGAUCAGAGUGGUACUAAGGCUCAUAAUAUUAAGGUUCCUCCUACAUCGAUAGUUAUUCAGACAGUUUUUGCUAAGCCUACUAUGUCUUCUGAGGAGCAAAAAAUAUUGGGUAGAUUCUUGAGAUUGGCUUUGCCUAGGUUUUCUGGUGCUCCAGGCAAGGAUGCAUAUGAGUUUCUAAUUGCUUGCGAGGAUAGUCUCCAUAAUUUGGACCUAAUUGAGACUUAAGGUGUGGAAUAUACCACAUUCUAGAUUAACUUGGCUGCUCCACAUUGGUGGAUAGGUUUUAUGGACUCUAGACUAGCUGGAUCUUCUCAUUUGUUAUGGACUCAGUUCUCCAAGAUAUUCUUAAAGAAGUACAUGCCUCAAAGCCUUAGAGAUAAUUUGAGGGAUCAGUUAUCUAAAUUAGAGAAGGGCUCAAUGACUGUUGCUGAGUAUGUGGCUCAUAUUUGACUUAUAUUCUAGGUAUGGAGUAUAAGAGAGUUUGCUUCUUUGCUAGAGGAUUGAGACUUCCCAUUUGUAUGUACACUCAAAGUUUAGUUAUUAUAGGUAGAUAUUUUGUUGAGGUUUUGGAUCACGAUAGGGUGAUGGAGGAGAUGUAUCGUGAGGUCUAAGGGGGCAAUGAUAAAAGGCCUAGAUUUUAGGGAAGUUUUAAUUGGAUCCAUGGUAGCUCCUGAUUUAGAGGUAGUAUUCUCAUGGUGGGUAUUCUCUGCGUCUAUCCUAUUAGCCCCCGAGUCAUCCUAGUUUAUUGAUUCAGGCAGCUCUAUUGAGCGCUUAUAGGGUCAAUCUAUUCCUAGUGAUUUCCCUAGUCAAGGUGGCAGUCAGUCUCUAAAGGUUUUAUCUUCUUGUCAUUGUAGUCAUGGUGGUUACUCCAAGUCAGCUAGAUCUUUUAUUUCAAGUUGUAUUUUGAGUUUAUAUUAUAGCUAUUGAGGUUUAGGUCACUAUUCUUUAUAGUGCACUAUUCAUGGGGUGAUUAUUGCUUCAUCUCAAAGUGCUCCCCCUAUUAGAGUAGUUCAUCCCCCAUUUAAAGAUGGUUCUCAUGGCCGCAUUGGUUGUUUCUAGGAUACUCGAGGAGAUUCUCAGGAAGAUAUACCAGGAGGUCAGUCAAGUGUCCAACUAGGUGGCGAGUGUGGUUAGUUGUAUGCAGUACUGCUAGACCCAAGGCUGAGACUUCUAAUGUUGUUGUUACGGGUAUAAUUUUGGUGUGCUGCUAGUUGUCCCAUACUUUUUCUGAUUCAGUAUCUACUUAUUCUUAUAUAUUUUCUUGUUAUGCACCAUAAAUUAAGUUAUCUAGUGACUUAUUAUCUAUGCCAUAAAGUGUAUCUACUCCCAUGGGUGAUUAUUUAGUAGUGGAUCGAGUUCUCAGAUCAUGUGUUGUGACGGUUAGUUAUGGUGAUACUUAUGCAGAUUUUAUUAUUUUGAACAUGGUGGAUUUUGAUGUAAUUUUAGGAACGGACCGGUUAUCCCAACGUAAUGGAUUAUUUUUGCCAAGACCGUUACCUUAACCAUGCCUGACAUAAACCUACUCUUAUGGUAGGGAGCAAUUUUCCAUGAGCCAAUGGGGAUUAUUUCUUAUGUUUGUGGUAGGAGGCUUAUUUCAAGGGGCUACGAGUCUUAUCUCACUUAUAUUGGGAUAAUAGUAUGGAGAAUCCAUCGGUUGACUCUGUUCCUAUUGUUUGUGAGUUUCCUAGUAUAUUCCCUACCAGCCUGCUUGGUAUUCCCCAUCUGUGAGAUUGAGUUUUCUAUUGAUCUCGAGCAUGGUAUCCAACUUAUUUCUAUGGUACAUUACCAUAUGUCUCCUACAGAGCAUAAGGAGUUAAAUUUUCAGCUUCAGGAUCUUAUUGGUAAGAGUUUUAUUUGACUGAGUGUGUCUCCUUACAGUCCUCCUAUAUUGUUUGUGAAGAAGCAAGAUGGUUCCAUGCUUAUGUGUAUCAAUUAUAACAGCUUAAUAAGGUGAUGGUGAAGAACUGUUAUCCCAUGCCCUGCAUUAAUGAUUUGUUCGACCAGCUUCUGGGCGCGACAUUGUUUUUUAAGAUUUAUUUGAGAUCUUAUUAACAUUAGUUGAGGAUUCGGGAUGAGGAUAUCUCAAAGACAUCCUUUAGGACCCAUUAUUGUCAUUAUGAGUUCUUAGUGAUGUCAUUUGGGUUGACUAAUGACCUAGCCACGUUCAUGGAUUUGAUGAACUGAGUAUUCAUGCCUUUUUUGCAUUCCUUUGGGAUAGUGUUCAUCGACAACAUUGUUGUGUAUUCGAGUAGUAGAGAGGAGCAUGCAAAACAUUUGAAGAUUAUGCUUCAGACUUUAAGAGAUCAUGUGCUUUUUGCCAAAUUCUCUAAGUGUGUGUUUUUGCUUGAGUCGGUGACUCCUUGGACAUGUGGUUUCUCAGUAUGGUAUUAUGGUGGUCCGAGUAAAGAUAGAGGUAAUUUGUGAUUGAGCUACACCUACAUCUCUGACAGAGGUUCAUAAAUUCAUUAUUUUGGCCAAUUAUUACAGAUGCCUUGUCGAGGGUUAUGCUACUAGUUCAGCCCCUAUGACCUAAUUUACUCGGAUGGAGGUUCCUUUACGGUUGAGGAGUGUGAGUCAAGCUUUGACAAGCUCUAUGAUUUUCCAUCUCCAUCUCUUGUUUUAGAUCUUCCUGUUGAGGAUGAGGGCUUUAUUGUGUUUUGUGAUUCUUUCGAUGUUAUUUUUGGUUGCGUAUUGAUGUCAUGUUAUUACUUAUGGUUCUAGAUGGCUUAAUGAGCAUGAGCGCAACUACCUAAUUCAUGAUUUGGAGUUGUCAGCAAUAGUUUUUGUGCUUAAGAUUUUGAGGCAUUAUCUAUAUGGUGUUCAUUGUGAGAUCUUUACCGAUCAUCGAAUUCUUCAUCAUUUAUUACCUAGAGGGAGAUGAAUGUUUUAUAGUGUAGAUGGAUGAAGUUUCUUAAAGAUUUUGAUAUUUUGAUCUUGUAUCGUUUGGGCAAGACAAUGGUGGUAGUGGAUGGCUUAAGUCAGAAGGUAGUGAGUAUGGGUAAAUUGGCUUGUAUUUAAUUUUCAUAGAGGUCGUUGGCAUGGGGUAUUUAGUCCUUGGCCUACUUGAUGGAUCACCUUGAUAUGUUAGACCCUAGGAGGAUCCUUGACAGUGUUGAGGCGAGGUCUUCAUUAUUUGAGCAGAUUCGAGAUAGUCAGUUUGAGGAUAGCAAGCUUCACUUCCUUCAUGAUUAGGUGUUGAGUGGUGAGUCCGAUAGGUUCACCAUAUAUUAUGAGGGUGUUUUGAGAUUUGAUAGUUUGAUCUGUGUUUCACGGAUCAAUGAAUUAAUUUAUUAAUUCUGCAUGACGCUCACAACUCUAGAUAUUAUAAUCACCCCGACACAUCCAAAAAGUAUAGAGAUUUGAUGCAACAUUAUUAGUAGAGUGGUAUAAAGAGAGAUGUGGGAGACGUUGUAGCUCAUUUCAUAUGUUUUCAUUAAGUAAAGGAAGAGCAUCAGUGACCAGGUGGUUUGAUCUAGAGAUUGCCCAUUCCCAAGAGGAAAUGGGAGUGGAUUACUAUGGAUUUUGUCAGUGGUUCGCCUCAUACAUCUAGUCAUUAUGAUGAUGUUAGGGUCAUUGUAGAUCAUUUGACCAAGUCAGCGUAUUUCAUUCGGAUUCAGAUGCCCUUCAGUGUUGAGACAUUGGCCCAUGUCUAUGUUCCGGAGAUAGUCCAUUUGCAUGGUGUGCCCAUUUUUAUCAUUCAAACCGUAGAUCUGUGUUCAUUUUGAAAUUUUAGAGAUCUUUUCAGGAGGAGUUGGGCACUUAGGUGGAUGUUAGUACAAACUUUCGAGUCUCAUGUCAUUCGUUGGGAUUCAUUCCAGUUAGAUGAGAGGUUGUGUUGGAACCCUUAGGGGUUUCACCCCAUAGUGAGGGACUAGGCCCCAUAAAGUUAAUCUUAAAUGAUAGAACAGUAAAACAACUAUUAGGUGCUGAAAAACAAAAGGCAAUACAAGAAGGUAAAAACACAUGAUUUUUACAUGUAAACCCAGGAAGGGAAAAAACACGGCUUACCCUCACAAGCACCAAAAAAAUCCACUAUAAUAAACCUCCUAAUAUCUGUCUUGGUUUUAGCCUGCCUCUAGACUCCUUUUGCUUGUGAAAACUCUACAACAAGCUCAUCUUGAUAACUCUACCAAGGACUCUCUACGCUCCGGAAUUUCACGUAGAAGCAUGGAAAGAUGAAAACUAGAUGAACAACUUAUGAAUUUUGGGGUAAUGGCAACUUAUUAGCCACAUCCCCAGUAGUCCAAAAAUCUGACAAGGUCAAAUAUACCUCGAGCUAAGCUUACCCCUCUUCCCGAACAUCAUCAUGCCCUUUAUGGGUGACAUAUGAAGAAAGAAACGAUCACCAAUACUAAAUAUCAAGACAAAAAUUCUACGAUAUGCAUAGCACUUAUGCCUACUUUGAACUGCUUGAAGUCUAUCUUGAAUGACCCGAACACUAUCAUAAGACUCAUGAAGCAAGUUUGUAGCUCAAGGUAACAUCAUAGAAACCUCAAACAAACCAAUUGGAGUGAGGAAAUGCCUACCAUACAAUGCCUUUAAAGGAGAAAACACAAUACUGGAACGGUAGCUAUCAUUAUACACAAACUUGACCAAAGCUAGAUGUUGAUCCCACCAACGACCAAAGUCCCUCACACAUGCGCGGAGCAUAUCCUUCAAAACUUGAAUAGUUCUCUCUAACUGACCAUAGGUCUAGGGGUAAAAUAUUGUGCUAACAUUAACCUGGGUACCCAAUUCCUCCUAAAAAGUCUUCCAAAAGUGGGAUGUGAAUACUUAACGUCGAACUGAGAUAAUGGACACUGACACACCAUGAAGAUGAACUAUAUCACGAAUAUAGAUUCAGGCCAACCUCUCAAUACUAAAAGAAACCUAAACUAGAACGAAUCGAGCAGACUUGGUCAAUCGAUCCAUGAUGACCCAAACACUAUCAGAAUCAGAAGGAGUAUUAGGUAACCCAGUAAUAAAGUCCAUAGUGAUCAAUUCCUACUUACACUUGGGAAUGAGUAAGAUCUGACUCAAAACACUAGGUAUUAAGUGCUCGGCCUUCACCUGCUGGCAACAUAGGCAACGAGCUACAAAAUUUGCUACAUACUUCCUAACUACCCUAUUAUUAAUGUCGUUUCAAAUUGCAAUACAUCUUAAUCACUCUUAGAUGGAUGGAAUCUCUGGAAUAAUGAGCCUCAUUCAGUAUUAAUCUUUCCCAAUCACGCACUCUCAGCACACAAACUCAGCUACCAAUCUGUGAAACACUAUCAGAAUCAAGUGAGGCUUCCUUAUCCUUAACACUCAACACCUUUUUCUGAAUUACUUUCAACUCAUAAUCAUCAAACUGAUGAUCCCGAAUCUACUCCAUCAAGGAAGAACUAGCCACCAUAAAUGCCAAAACACUCCCAGGUGUCAAAAUAUCAAGCCUAAUCAUCUAGUUAGCCAAAGACAGAACCUUUAAGGCCAAAGGCCACUCCUGGGUCAAAAGAUGCACCAAACUAUCCAUGCUAGUUGACUUCCAACUCAAGGAAACCACAACCACAUUAAUCUUGCCCGGAUGAUAGAGAAUAGUAAGAUCGUAAUACUAAAGAAACUAAAGACAACGAUGUUGCCUCAUAUUAAGAUCUCACUUGGUGAAAAAAUAAUGAAGUCUAUGAUGAUUUGGGAAAAUCUCACAAUGGACUCCAUACAGGAAAUGCCUCAACAAAUCAAAGCAAAAACAAUCGUACAACUCCAAACCAUGGGCAGGGUAAUUCCUCUUAUAGGGAUUUAACUGACAUGAAGCAUACAUAAUUACCUUACACUCCUACAUUAACACAAUAUCUAACCUAAUAUCUAAAGCAUCAUAAAAGAAAAUAAAACCUACACCCUUUUUGAACAAUGUAAAGGUAGAAGUUGAAGCCAACAAAUCCUUGAGCUUUUGAUAGCUCGCCUUAUAAGCAUCAAGCCACUGAAAGGAAAUCUUUUUUAAGUCAACUUGGUCAAUGGAGAUGCAAUUGAUGAACAACCCUCAACAAAAUGCUGAUCAUAUCCUACCAAACCAAUGAAACUCUGAAUCUCAGUAGGAGAAGUAGGCCUUGACCAAUCAUGAACAACUGUAAUCUUGGUCGGAUCAACCAUAAUACUUUCUUUGGUGAGCACAUAACCCAUUAAAGAGACAGACUCCAACCAAAAAUCACAUUUAGAGAACUUAGUAUGCUAAUAUUCAUCCCUCAAUCUCUGAAUCACAGUCCAUAAAUAAUGCUCAUGGUCAGCCUCACUCUUGGAAUAAUCUAAGAUAUCAUCUAAAAGUACAAUGACAAAAAAGUUGAGAUACGAUUGAAAUACCCAGUUCAUAAACACUAUGAACAUGACUGGGGCAUUGGUUAACCCGAAAGAUAUGACUAAGAACUCAUAAUGAUUGUAUCGAGGCUCAAAAGUUGAAUUAGAGUUAUUAGAAGCUCUAAUUCUUAACUGGUGAUACCCAAACCACAAAUCUAAAUUUCAGAACACUGAAGCACCAUGAAGCUGAUUGAACAAAUCAUUAUUAUAAGGAAGAAAACACUAUUCUUAAUCAUCACUUUGUUUAGCUACCAAAAUUAAUACAUAUACGCAUAGACCCAUCUUUUUUUGUUCAUAAAGGAAAUAGGUGCGACCCAAGGUUAUACACUAGGUCGGGUAAAUCCCUCAUCCAACAAAUCUUGCAACUUAUCUUUCAAUUUCUUCAACUUUGUUGGGGCCAUCUUAUUUGGAGAAAUACAAAUGGGAUUGGUGCUCGAAUCAACAUUAAUAGCAAAGUUAAUAUAAAGAUUUGAUGGCAUACUAGACAAUUCUACAAGGAAAACAUCCACAAACUCAUGGACAAUACAAACAAAAUAAAAAUAUAAGGUGAAGCAACAAUAGUAUCAUAAAUAUGAGCCAAAUAAGACAAAAAUCAUCUCUCAACCAAAUAAUGAGACUAAAGAAAAGAUAUAACCCUCUUGGGAUCCAAAUGAAGAACACCUUUCCAGGCUAUCUAUGGUACACUGAUGAGGCUAAGGUAAUGGUCUUAGCAUGAUAGUCUAGGAUAACAUGAUGAGGUGCUAACAAAGACAUAGCCAAGAUAACAUAUAAUUCUACCAUAUCUAAGACAAUCAAAUAAACCCAAGCCUCAGGCCAAAUAAAGGUCAUAACACAAGACUAGUGCACUCGAUCUGACACUAAAGAGUCUCUUAUAAAGGUAGAUAUAUGAAUGGGACGGAAAGAGUCUUACUAGAAAAAUCAAAGCCUGAAACAAAAUAUGAAGACACAAUGGAGAAGGCUGACCUUGGAUCAAAUAACACAGAUAUAGAUAUCAAAUAAACAGGGAAGAUACCUAUGAUAAUAGGUUUAAAAAACUCUACAUCUGGUCUAGCAGGUAUAUCAUAGCAUAAUCCAUAACAAUCACCAAACUGAGUAGCCCUGCGACCACCACUACGGGAACCACUACCUCAUACACCUCAAGUAGAACUUCUACCAUUCACUGCAGAUAUAGAUAUAGCCUUAAAACCAUGAGUGGGAUAGCCCUUGGAAACAUAGCCAACCUUAUCAUACACAAAGGUACCUCUAGACCCAACUUAAUAGAAAGAAGGAAGGAUAAGAUAGAAUGACCACUCAAAGUUGUUAGAAUAUAUUACCCACUACCUGAACCAUACAAAGCUGCAUGCACUUAUCUACUAUAAAACCCAUGGUAGACUCUAGAAUCUAUAUCUUAUGGAGUGUAAUCUCUGACCUCAUGCUGAUGGCACACACUCUUGGCGCCUCCCUAUGACACUAAAGAAUUGACUUAGUCAUCUUAGCAUGAUCCAAUAUACUCUAAAAUGAUGCCCCUAACACUACCAUAUUGAUAGCAAAAAUAUGAAGGAAAACAUUCAACCCCUUAAUGAACUUUUCAAUCCUUUCAAACUUAGUGGAAAUAUUGAUAUAAAAAUAUCUAGACAAGGUAUGAAAACAUGCCUCAUACUCAACAAUAGUCAUGGAACCCUUCUUUAGUACAUCAAACUUAUCUCUUAUUUGAUCCCUAAAAAUGUAAGGUAAAAACCUAUCCAAAAAGGCCUUAGCAAAUUGAUCCCAAGUCAUCUCUAGCGAACCAACAAGUCUUCAACUAACAAGUGAUAUACACCAAUCCCUGGUUGCAUCUCUGAAUUGGAAAGUAGUAUAAGCAACCCUAUGUAAAUCAAACGAACAAAAGUUGUGCAACUUCUCAUGGAAGUCAAUCAAAAAUUCAUAUGCAUCCUUACCUAUACCACCACUAAACCUUAGAGGACCCUAAAAAGGGAACCUAACAAACAUUUUUUAUCCUCAAAAGACAUAACUAUACUAGCAAUAAUAGUAGGAAUAGUGAAUUUUGUUUUUGAGAUCCCACUUGAGUAGGUAUUAUAGACCAAGACUAAAAUACCAAAUAAACAAGAAGACAGUGGGGCACGAAGGACUACCAGUGAGAGCAGCCAGGCGACUAGCAACAAACUCUGAAAUUUCCAAUAUAAAAGGUGGUUUCACAACCAUGUAGGCAGUAUGCCAUACAAAAUCAAAGAUUCAAUCAACACCACAGACAUAGAGACUAACCUUUCAAACAUGACAGGCGAUUCACAUCCAUAGAGACAAUAAGCUAUAUGAAAUCAAUGUUUUUAAUCAACACGCCAUAACUUUCCUAUGACUGAGCUACUUAUCCACAAGGAUGACUUGCUUUAGUAUCAAAGCCUUCACAACCCUGAAAGGGAUGGCAUGACUUUGAAAUAUCAGCUACAUAUCCAAAUGGUUUGCCUUUGCAACAAUGACAUUGUAACCCUUAGAGGGUCGGCAUGACUUUACCAGUCUUAAAACACAUGAAAUCAUUUGUUUCCUUAGUAUUAGACUAUUCUGUAUAUGAAAUAAAAUGGGUCUUGCGGUAGCUCUUCCUGGCAUGUUUCCCUUAAGCAUCCGUGGAACAAAAAAAGUACUAAGGUAGACCUAAAAUUUGCAUGUUCUUUCUCUGAUAUUGAAUUAAUUUGGAAAGCUAUGUCAUGGACUUAGACAAUUUUGUUUCAUAUAUAUGGAAAAGACUUAGAAAUCUACGUAAUAUAUGAAAUAGUCUUGUACUAAGAAGAUAAAGGAUUUUAUAUGUUCUAAGAUUGACAAAGUCAUGCCAACUCUCUAAGGGUUGCAAAGUCUUUUUUGCUAAGGAAAACUUUCUAGAUGUGUAGAUAAUAUUUUAAAGUUAUGCCAUCCCAUUCAGGGUUAUGAUGGAUUUGUUAUGAAAGCCAGCCGUCAUUGUGGAUGAGUAGCUCAGUUGUAGGAAAGUUAUGGUAUGUCAACUAAGAUCCAAAGAGCGAACACCCAAUAUGACGAGCCGCCAGAGGUUCUUUCUAUUUAGAGAGCAUCAAAAGACAACGAUCCAGAGGAAUAACUAUGGAAAAAUAAAAUUGAUCUAGCACAUAUGAUGAUCACAAGUUAUAGACUAGAUUCAGCUACUUUAGAUGAUCUCUUGCAGGUCCCAGACAAAUCCCAAAAUGACGAACAGGUUUGUCUGAAAUAAUAUCUUCUCAAGACCAAUGGAAAGGUUGCGGACUUGAUCUACCUCAAUCAAGUUGACCUGAGAUUUUUUGUUCCCAAAGAUGAGGAGCUUAUGCCAAAAGAUCUAUCUCACCACACAAGCUCCCUUCUUUUUGAGAAUCAUAAAGAAUCUUUAUUCAGUAACAUCAUGUCAGAUAAAUAUUCUUAAUCUGUCCAUUCUAAUGAUAUGUAUGACAAUCUAUCCCUCAAGCUAGAAGGUUCUCCCUAUCUAUUCAGAUGUUAGGCAAGGAAAAAAAGGUAUAUGCAAUUCAGACAGGCCAUAAAGAAGAAACCUUCAAACAAAGAACUAAUUAGCGAAGAUGCCACAUCCUUCAGUAAGACAGAUCUAGGCAAACACAAGUGUUUCAUCAGGCAUGAUAAAGGAUACUUUGCUUAAAGAUGUCCUAAGUCCUAGAAUCAAAUAGGGAAACAUAAGACUUGCAAUAAGCCUCAGAGAAAACCAUGCCUUGUCGCUAAGAUAUUGAUAAUCCUCAUCCAACUGCAGAAGAAAUUCCCAAAUCUACUUUCAAUACAGAAAAAGGAAUAGUGAGAACAUCUUCAUUAAUUGCCAACCAUAACCUUUCAUUAGUAGAUAGUCAUCUGAUGCUAAUGAUGACUACUAUGCUAGUAAAUGUGCUAAAGAUAAUAAAGAUGCUUUACAACCAUCAAUCUAAUUGCUUAAGGAGGAAUCUCUAUCUAUGUUGGAGAAGCACUCCAGCAACUAGAGGUCUCUAAAUCAUUCUCCAAUCUAGAUGAGCUAACUAGUGAUCCAGUCCCAGAAAUAAAACCAUUGCUUCAACUCUAUCCCUGCCUCAGGAUAUCAGAACUCUCAAGAUGAUGAAGAAUUUUGCUAAAAGAGAACAAUGAUUGAUACUGCUAGACUGCACAUCCAGAUUCUCUAAAAUCCACAUAUACUGGGGGAAUAUGAUCUUGGGCAUAUUUAUAUGCUCAAAACACCAAUAUGCACGCAAAAUUGAACUUAGUUUAAGAACUUUUGUAUGAAUUCUUAAGUAUAAUUCAUCUUUUAUUCUGUUUUGUGCCUAAUGGAUAUGAUUAGUACUUUCAAGAUCAAAAUCAUACAGAAUUGUGCAUAAUUGGAUACAAGGAGGAUAUGGAAGUAGUAAAGGAAUGCAAGGGACUGAAAUUAAGCUGAAAAAGAGAAGUUGGAACAAAGAAAUCCUUAUUUGAAUUAUUUGAAGACACUCUGCAUUGCGAUAAGCAACAAAAUAGCAAUGGUCAAAUUCUAGAGAAGGUUUGCAAAACCACCACAUUGCGGAGAAGUUUUGUUUAUCAUAUUUGGAGACCUUAAGGUUUAGCGCAUCGUAGAGGAUGAUUAUUUUGCAAUUGUCCCAACCAGUGGCUCACCGCGAUAGUGGUGCUUUGUGGUGAGGGUGUAUUUUACAAUUUUUGGGGUGUACUUGAGCUCUGCAAUUUGCCAGAUUUUAAUAAAAAAUAGUAAUAGAAGGCAUGGUGCAACAUGCCGGGUGGAUAAAUCAAGAAUAUUUUAACUAUUUUGUCUUAGCUAUAAAAGAAAAAAUCCAACAUAAUGUAGAGGACUUAUUGUCAAGCAGAGCAGCGGCAAAAAAACAAAAAUUUCUCUCUUUUAGGGUUCAUAAAUAUUAUUUUGAAUUUCUUUAUUUCAAGGAUUGAUUUAGGUAUGAUUUGUUACUUAUUUUGGAUGGUUAAUUCAAACAUGAGUAGCUAAAUACCCCCUUGCUGGGGUUGAGUCUAAGAACAUGAGUACUCUUUAAUAUUCUUAUUCAUAGUUUCUUUUUGGAUUAUUAUAUGGGUUGUUCUUAGUUUCAUGAGCAUUACUAUUUUAAUGAUUGGCUACCAUUAGAAUAAAUUUAUAUUUCUAUGUGAAUUUGGGAGGAGAAUCAUAGGAUAGAACAAAGAAAUUAGGGAGCAUGAUUCUUAUUCUUUUAUAAAAUAAGGGAUUUGAAUUAGCAUCUAGGAUAGGGAUAUACCUAGAAGCCUUGCUUAGUUCACUUGCAGGAAGACAACUUCAUGAAUCUAGAAGAUUUGUUGUAACUCUGCGGGAGUUGUAGUUACAACAUUCAAUAGAUAGAAGAUCUGAGGUCGGGAGACUAAGAUUAUGGCAUAAACCUUACAAACCAUCAACUCGAUAACCAAUUAGACUGUGAAAAGAAGAGAGAAUUUUAUGAUUGUUCACUAUACCUCAACCCUGGAAUCGUCAUCACUAUUGAUUACAACCGAUGCUUACUUUACUUUAGUCAUCACUAAUCAUUUAUUGUUUAGUAAAUUUUAUUUUAUUUAUAGAAUCAUGUUAAUGAUAAUAUAAUUAAACACUUAAUACUAAAUUGUCUUGAACUAAAGAUUGAAUAAAUUUCUAGUUUAUUGAUCGUCGAGGGAAUGAUAUUUGACUAUGUAAGUCAUUAUAGUACUUGCACAAUCACGUAUACUUGCAUGUGCGUAGAGAUGCAAUAAUAUUUUGGCGCCAUUGCCGGGGAUCAAAGGGAAUUAGUAAAUUGCUUUAGUUUUUGAUUUUUGAUCAUAAGAUUAAGUGUUAACAACUUGAUCUUAUUGGCUGAAUUUUUGCAGGUUUAGCUGAACAAUGGACUGGCUAGAGACAAAGAUUUAGUAAAGCCCUUUCCAGAACCAGAAGUGAUUUUUCAUCAGAGACGAAGAGCUCAAUACUACACUCAACAGGGAUCGAUGACGAAAAUACGUGAUCCUAUAGUUACUGAUCCAAAUGUUAGAAUUGUUCCAGAUCCUGCUGUUCCUAUUCAACCAGUCGUAAGACCUAUUCUAGAAGUGGCAAUCCCAUUUAUGCACCUUAUGAAUAACAAUAUCCUAAAGCCUUAACAAGGAGGUCAAUGGGAAUUAAAACAAUAUAUGGUGUAAUUGUUGAAAUCUAUGGGAGAAUUUUAGGGACUUUCACAUGAGGAUCUACAGCAGCACUUACGAACCUUCCUGGAGAUAAGCAACACAUAUAUUCCUAAAGAUGUGAGUACUGAUUAUGUUAGAUUGAUACUCUUUUCUUUUUCUCUAUUGGGGAAGAAAAGAGAUGGCUACUUUCUGAACCAUACAAAUCUAUUACUACAUGGGAAGAAUCUACUCGAAGGCUCCUCAUUUGAUUUUUUUUAUCUCAGAAAAUAGCUCGAUUAAGGAGUGAGAUAUUGAGUUUUAGACAAAAAGAUGGAGAAAAUAUCUAACAAGCUUGGGAGAGAUUCAAAGGCAUGCUCAGAAGGCCUUGAGUCUAAUAUAAAGAUUCUUUUGAAUGAUGUUUUAGUGCAUACAUUUAUAGAAGGCCUUGAGUCUAAUACAAAGAUUCUUUGGGAUUCAGCUAUGGGGGGUCAAUAUUUAGAGAAAAUAUAUGAAGAAUUGAAUACCUUGCUGAAUCAGAGAAAUCUUGAUUGACAUGCAGACUCUGGGAAUGCUCCCAAGAAAGUUGCAGGGGUUUUGAAGGUUGAUUAGUUCACUGUCUUACAAGCACAGAUUGUAGCAAUGCAGAACCAUAUGACUACUCAAUUUAACAACUUAAAGUUGGGUACAACUCAACCUGUAGCCAUAAUAAAUGUAGUUCAACAGGUAUAUGCAUGGUGUGAAGUUUGUGGAAGCAGUAAGCAUAAAGUAGAUGCAUAUUCUGUUAACCCAAAUUCAGUCAACUAGGUGGGGAAUGCAAAUUGUUAGGGUCAACAGAAUUUUGGAAAUACAUAUAAUCCCAAUUGGAGAAACUACCUUAAUUUCUCAUGGGUAGAAAUCAAUCACAUAAUACAAAUUAGUAUAAGGGUCCAGUGCAACCAAAUCCACAGCCAGUUCAAAAUAAUUGGGUGACUUCUUUGAAUAGUAAUAUGGAGGAGAUGCUUAAGCAGUUGAUGGAUCAACAUGCACAGUUUGUAGUGGACAUAAAGGCUCAACAGGCACAAUUCGCAACUAAGUUGAAGAGUCAGUAAUUACUAACAAGAAAUUUGGAGUUGCAAUUAGGUCAAAUUGUAGGAUCACAGAAUACAAGGCUACAAGGAGCAUUGCCUGGCGACGCCGAGGCUAAUCCUAAAUAAGUGAAUGCAGUUACAAUGAGGAGUGGGCUGCAAACUAAGGAGAUGAUGAAGGAGCAGGAUAAUCCCACGGUUAUUGAUGAUAGUUUGCAAGAAAAAAUAGAAGAAAAAGAAAAAGAAAAAGAGGAUAGUGAAGAGAUUCGUGUAGAGAAAAAGACUAUACCCUUGCCCUUUUCUCAAAGGGCAAGAAAGAAUCAAGAAGAAGCAAGUUUUAAGAAGUUUCUAGAUCUUUUGAAAUAAGUUCAAGUAAACUUCCCUCUUGUUGACAUUCUAUAGAGUGUGCCAAAAUAUGCAAAAUACUUAAAGGAUAUUGUUACCAAUAAGAAUAAGUUGACUGAAUAUACUACAGUUGCACUUACUUAAGAAUGCACAUCUAAAAUUCAAAAUAAACUACCACAAAAUUAAAGGAUCCAGGGAGUUUCACGUUGCAAAUUACCCUUGGUCAAACUAUUUGUACACGUGGAAUGUAUGAUUUGGGGGCUAGCAUAAAUCUCAUGCCCACGUUAUGGUACCGAAAGAUGGGUCUUGGAAUCCCCAAACCCACGAUUAUUAUAUUGCAAUUGGCAGAUAGGUCACUUGCUAGACCAGAUGGUAUUAUUGAAGAUGUACUGGUGCAAGUGGGAUCUUUAAUAUUUCCUGUGGAUUUUAUGAUUCUUGACUUUGAGGCCGAUCCAAUUGUUCUAUUUAUUAUGGGACGACCCUUUUUAGUAAUAGGGCAGUCACUCAUUGAUGUGGCAGCUAAAAAUAUGACAAUGCAAGCACACGAUAAAGUAGAGGUUUUUGAUGUGUACAGAGCAUUGAAAUUUCCAGCCAUAUAUGAGGAGUUGUCAUCAAUUUCGGUUUUUGAUCUUAAUUUGGAUUGGUGGAUGCUCUUGUCUGAUGAUCCAUUAGAGCGAGCCUUGAUGGAUUAUGAUCUGUAUGGGGAUUUGAAAGCAUUGGAAUUAGUCUAGAGCAUGAAUUUUGUUGUAAUUGAGACAAAUAAAGUGUUGAUUGAGCCAUUGAAUAGACCAAUUGGUCCACAUCCAGGCCUUCAGUUGAAGAAGCUCCUAACUAUGAGCUUAAGGUUCUUCUUCCUCACUUACAAUAUGUUUUUCUUUGUGAUGAAGAUACCUUGCCAUUUAUUUUGUCUGUAGGAUUGUCCGAUGUAUAGGUAAAGAAAGCUGUAGCAGUUCUCAAAAGGAGAAGAAAAGUAAUUGGUUGGCAGAUGUCUGACAUUUUAGGAAUCAAUCCAGCAUUUUGCAUGUAUAAUAUUUAUAUGGAAGAGGGGUACAGACCUGGAGUGCAGCAACAAAAGAGGUUGAAUCCUGUUAUGAAGGAGGUGGUCCAAAAAGAGGUGAUCAAGUGGUUAGACAGUGGUAUUGUCUACCUAAUUUUUGAUAGCAAAUGGGUGAGUUCAAUGGAUUGUGUACCAAAGAAAGAAGGAAUGACUGUGGUGACGAAUAAUGAUAAUGAGUUAGUUCCCACACGUACAGUUAUCGGAUGGAUAAUAUGUAUAGAUUAUCGGGUGUUGAAUGCAACAACUCGAAAAGAUCAUUGUCCAAUUUCCUUCAUUGACCAAAUGCUGGAUAAAUUGGUAGGGCAGGAGUAUUAUUGUUUUAUAGAUGGGUACUCUGGCUACAAUCAGAUAAGCAUUGCAACAGAAGACCAAGAAAGGACCACAUUCACGUGUCCAUAUGGUACAUAUGCUUUCAGAUGCAUGCCCUUCUGAUUAUGUAAUGCACCUGCUACAUUUCAAAGGUGUAUGAUGGCAAUAUUCUCAGUCUUGGUGGAGGAAUUUAUGGAGGCAUUCAUGGAUGAUUUCUUUGUGUAUGGGAAUUCAUUUGAAAAAUAUUUGCAAAAUCUUGACAAAGUUCUAGAUCGGUGCGAAGAAACAAACUUGGUGUUGAAUUGGGAAAAUUUAAUUAUAUGGUUAAGGAAGAAAUUGUUUUAGGCCAUAAAGUGUCAUGCAAAGGGAUGGAAGUGGACAAAGAAAAGGUUUAAGUAAUUGAAAAGUUGCCUCAUCUAGUUACAGUCAAAGGUGUGAGAAGUUUCUUGGGGCAUGCUGGGUUCUAUAGAUGUUUUAUUCAAGAUUUCUCAAAGAUCGCAAGUCCCAUGGGAAAAUUGUUAGAGAAAGAAGCCAAGUUUGAGUUUGGAGUUGAUUGUUAUAAAGAUUUUGAAAAGCUUAAGAAAAAGUUAACGGAGGCACCUAUUUUGAUCACACCAGAUUGGGAGUUACCUUCUAAGCUAAUGUGUGAUACUAGUGAUAUUAGUGGAAGCAGUGUUGGGGCGGAGAAAAGAGAAGGUAUUUCAAUCAAUCUACUAUGCUAGCAAGGUACUGAAUGAUGCUCAAGUUAAAUACACAGUUAUAGAGAAAGAGAUCUUGGUUGUGGUAUAUGCAUUCGAUAAGUUUCGAUCUUACUUAAGUGGUACCAAGGUCAUUGUUCAUGCAGACUAUGCUUCCAUUAAGUAUCUUAUGAACAAAAAGGAUGCAAAUCCAUGAUUAACUAGGUGGAUUCUGCUACUUCUAGAAUUUGAUCUUGAGGUGAGUGAUAGAAUGGGAGCUGAAAAUUAGGUUGCUGAUCACUUGUCACAGCUGGAAAAUAGAGACCAUAUUGUGGAUGACUUUCUGAGUAUCAAGGAAGACUCUCUUGAUGAGAAGUUAUUGUUAUUAGAUAGAGUGAAUUUUCCAUGGUAUGAUGACAUUGUAAACCUGAUAGUUUGUGGGGUAUAUCCUCCCAAAAUUACCUCACAACAACAGAAGAAAUUACUCCAUGAUUCUCGUGCUUACAUUUGGGAUGGACCAUACCCUUUCAAGAAAGGUCUAGAUGGAGUGAUUCGUAGGUAUAUCCCAGAGGCUAAAUUUUUAAAGGUGUUACAAGAUUGUCACUCAUAUCCAUAUGGUGGACAUCAUGGGGGUGAAAGAACUACAAGGAAAGUAUUGGAAUCAGGUUUUUUUUGGCCGACUCUAUUUAGAGAUGCAGUGAUAUUUGUAAAGAGUUGUGAUCAAUCCCAAAGGUUGGUUACUAUAACCAGGCAUCAUGAGAUGCCCCUAAAUAAUAUUUUAGAAGUAAAAGUCUUUGAUGUUUGGGGGAUUGAUUUCAUGGGCCCCUUCCCACCUUCGAAAGGUAAUUUGUACAUUCUUGUUAUAGUGGACUAUGUUUCUAAAUGGGUGAAAGCUAUGGCGAGUCUGACUAGUGAUGCAAGAGUAGUGCUGAAGUUUGUGAAGAAGAAUAUAUUUUCUAGAUUUGGUACACCAAGAGCAAUAAUUAGUGAUGGAGGUACGUACUUUAUCAACAACUGGUUCAAGAAUCUUCUUGCUAAAUAUGGUGUUCGGCACAAGGUGGCCACUGCAUACCAUCCUCAAAUGAGUGGACAAGUUGAGGUAUCCAAUAGGAAGAUUAAGCAAAUACUUCAAAAGAUCGUAAAUGGGCAGAGAAAAGAUUGGGCGGAGAAGUUAGAUGAUGCACUAUGGGCAUAUCGAACAGCAUACAAAAUGCCCAUUGGGACAUCUCCAUAUCUCUUAGUGUAUGGUAAGGCUUGUCAUCUUCCUAUAGAGUUGGAACACCAAGCAUAUUGGGCUGUUAAAAAGUUGAAUUUUGAGAUGACUACCAUGGUAGAAAGAAGGGUUUUGCAAUUGAAUAAGCUUGAUGAGUUUAGACUCCACGCAUGUGAAAAAGCCAAGCUUUACAAGGAGAAUACCAAAUGUUGGCAUGACAUUUAAGUUAGGGAAUUUGAACCUGGACAAUUUGUAUUGUUGUUUAAUUCACGACUUAAGUUAUUUCCAGGUAAAUUACGAUCGAAAUGGUCUGGACCUUUUAAAGUGGUGCACAUGACACCCCAUGGAGCUGUGGAGUUGUGGAAUAAAGAGAAGAUGGAGAAGUUCCUUGUAAAUGAACAGCAUGUAAAGAAUUAUUGGGUGGAUCAUCCAGACAAGCACAAGGAAUCUAUCAUUUUUUCUAAUGAGUAAUGAUGAAUUGAGUUAUGCCACGACGUAAAAUAAGGCGCUAUGUGAGAGGCAACCCACACAUGUAUUGUAAUAGGUAGUUUAAUUUUUAGCUUGUAAAAUUAAAAACAAAAGAAAAAUACAAAAAUAUUAGUCGUCCCACAACCAAAACUAAGGCGCUGAGUGGGAGGCAACACAUUUUUGCUUACAAUUUUUGUUGUUUUCGUUUUUUGAGAUUGCAGGAAAUUUCAAAGGAAAUGAGGAGAUUACCAAAAUUGAUGAAAGCAAUCAGGUUUGCAAAAUGAUUUGUGUAAGUGAGCAUUUACUUAGGUAAGAAAAGGGUAAAAAUUGCAUAAGGAAUCUGAGUUUGAUGAACAACGCGAUUCAGAAGUAGGUAAUUUGACAAUUGUUAAAUUCCAGUAAGGGCAUGGGAAUUUCACCACGACGCAAAGAAAGGUAAACUGAGUAUUGUCAAAUUCUAGUGGAUAGGUGUGAUUCCCAGCGCGACAUGAAACUUGGACAAUUGAAAAUUGUCAAUUUAUAGUAUGUCGAUGCAAAUUUUAGCGCAUCGCGAUCGGAAGUUAAAUGGAAAUUGGCCUUAUCCAGUAGGUUUCCGCGAUCCUACAAUGUCGCAAAGAGGGUUUAACUCGGACAUAAAAAUAUAAUUACCCUAAUCUGACCUAUCCCUCUAUAAAUACAACGCCCCCAACCCUAAACCAUUUUUUUUACCAUAUGCACUACCCUCUCACUCCUUCUCCUAAAAAAACUUCCAAACUUUUUCACUUUCUCUCAUUCUUCUCUAAAUUGUUAAGGUAUGUUUGUUUUUAUUUAUUAAUUUAUUACCCUUCUUAUUAUAUUUUGUGAGUAUUGUUAGUGUUCUUAUACAUAAUUUUGUUUUCCCUUUCCUAAUACUUGUCCAUAUUCGCAUUGCCUUUGAUAUUUUGUCAAAUUUUUGAUGUCUUAGCCUACUUAUCAUUACUUUGAAUCACUGAGAGCAAAAUUGACUGGUAUCUAUAGUUGGGAUUAGGGGGUAAACAUUUUUCAUGCUAGUUGAGAGGAUGGGAAGGUGUCAGGCGAAAUCGUGUAGGAAGUUAGGGGGUGAUUUCCUUCCACUAUGUAUAUACCCUUAUUAUCUGAUAUUAGUUGAGUUAGUAGAAUGCGACAUGAUGUUUUGUGCUGAGGAAAUAGAGAGGAAUAAUGGGACUGAGUACCUUGAAUGUGCUAUCUAUAUCUGUGAUAUUAAGUCCUACAAAAAGAGAAGUCUAAGUACCUUGCUUGUGAAUGUAGGUGUUUGGCCAACAACUAAGUGUGGGGUGCAAAGGCACCUGUAAUGCACAUAAAGAUUAUCUAAUCUUCAGUUUCAUUUUCUUACUUGUUGGUUGUAUUUUCUUAAGAGCAAGCAUAAUGGAAUCAUAAUCUAACAAAGAAAAGGCAAAGAAGAACAUUCUGCUCCUGCGAGGAAGAAAAGCAGACCGUCUCAAGGGCAAUUAACUAUAGUGCCUAGGGCCCCUCCACUUCAGCAGAGGCAGGUUCAAAAAUUUGGCUUCAAGGCUGUAUGAAGGGAUGGAAAAUAGUGGUAUACUAAGCAUACUGAUACUAAGUAUAUUCUGGAUGUCUAUAUCAAUAGGGCUAGCUUGCUAAGAGAGUGUCCAUCUAUGGUAUGGAGAAUCGAGGCACUGAAUAUGAAUUUCAUUUUUCAUCAGCCGACUGAGUGCAAUUUGCAUCUUGUGAGAGAAUUUUAUGCCAAUUGGGACCCUAGCCAUUCUGAACAUUUUUUAACGAUUCGAGGGUAGGUGAUUUGAUUCACAGCUAUUGAUAUUAACGAGUUGUUGAGUAUCCCAAAAAUGAAUCCAAAUAUCUUGCAUCAGUUUAUUGUUUCUUCUCCUGAUGCACACAUCAAGCGUUUGUUGUGUAGCCAGUGAUCUUCAGCCUAUUGGACGAUGGAUUGAGUUACAGGUUUGCAUUUUUCUUUCCCCUACUCUCAGAUGAACAAAGAAGUAUGAAUGCGGGGUCGUAUAGUGUAUUCAUGCUUGACACAAAGCAAGUAUAUGAAUGAGGUGACUCGUGAUAGGGUAUGUUAAAUUUAUGCCCUCAUGUGUGCUGAUGUUGAAAUUAAUGUGGGAAGUGUAAUUUUUUCUGCUAUGAAGAAAGAAAGUACCCAGGUGGGUUGUAGCUUUGGAUUUGGUAUUCUGUUGACUUGAUUUUUAAGACGAAAUAGGGUGGAUAAAGAGGAGCUUGACUAUAAACCUGAGGUAAUCAGUCAUCCUAUGGACAUCACUAUUGCUCGAAGUACAUAUGGGGAAUCUGGCAUAAUUUUGACUAUGAUGGAGCGACAUACAUGGACUAAUAAGGUUCUGGGCAGGCUGUAUGGUCUUAUAAUGAUGAUGUCACAGACUGGAGGUAGACUGCUACACCAAAGAAGCUCCACGCUGUAGAGCGCGAUUAUCCACUCGGCCAUCAUGGUAGGACUAUAUUGAGGAUUGGUCUAGAUUUUGUGGAUCCUGUUGAUGACGAUACACCCAGAGAUAAAGAACACAGGUGUAGGGAUUCCGAUAUGGAGUUCGAUGAAGAGGAGCAAUCUGAUGAUAAUGAAGAUGACGAUGAUGGCGAUGAUGAGAAUGUGGUUGCUGAAGACAUGUCUGCUAUAGUCCCAUUUGAUUGAUCAGGAAGUAUACUGCCACCAUACCAUAAUCUUAUUGGAAGCACUGGACAGUGGUUUAUUUUAAGUGUGGGGUGGUGGGUUUGUAUUCUCUUGCAUUUUCAUGUUUUUAUCCGACUGAACAAUGUUAUUUUUCUGUUUAGAUGUGUUGGUUUGAAGUAUUAGCUAUUUGAAACAUUGGUCUAAAUUAGUUAGUAACUUUGAUUUUGUGAAUUGCAAUUUGCCCUUUUUGGCAUUUAUCUCAUGUUACUUCAGUUUAAAGUAUUCUGUUAUUGUAAUCUUCGCCUUUAUUGGCAAGUUCAGUUUCAAAUAGUUACGUUUGUUUGUGCCCUAUUUGGUAAUUAGGAAUAAAAAGUCAUAGUUAGUUGCCAUCACCUAUGAUAGAUGGAUGACGACCGUCUUAAGGGGAAUGGUCAUACCAAGUAAAGAAAUUUAGGAAAACCUAAUCACUAUCUUAGAGGAGUGUGUGAAAUGGGUCAUUUUUGAAUUAAUUGAAACUAAUUUUAGCAUAAGAGUAUUUUUAUUUUAAGUGCUGAGGAUUCAAUCUCGAUAAAUGAAAUUUGAUGUGUUCUCUUAAUUCUAAAUUCAAUAAAGAACAUGAAUGGGAACUUUUGGCUGAUUCGUACAUGCACUAUGAGUGUUAGGAUUAGUAUAUAUUCUACAUGAAUAGAAAUGACUAGAUCUUGCUUGGUGUGUUUACAAAGCAAAAUAAAAGGUGUUGGGUGCAGGAAGAAAUGUAGGAAAUUCUUUGACAGCCUUGUUUUUAACUUUAAAAACCCUCUCUUGGUGCAUAAUCUUAGUCAGCUCCAUUGAGCCUUGAGCCUUUGUCUUUGGUAGACUGUUAUGAAACCUUACCCCUUCUUUGCUGAAUUAUAAUUUGAUCUAAAUAAGCUCCUAAGAAUUUUUAAUAUACGACUAAGAGAUGAUUAAGCACGAAAAUGAGAAAAAAAGGCUAAUAAGUUGAUGCCCCCAAAAUAGAGUUUAUUGAUGUUUGAUAAUGCUGGGUUAAUUGGGAGUUAGUAAAUUGAAAUGUUAUAAUGAACCUAUUUUGGCCCUGGUCCAGUUGGAUAAUGUGCACCUUAAUGAAGGACUUUAAGCUUAAGUUAAGGGUGGCUAUAAUAGGGGUGUAUAGCAAGAAUAUGAAAGAAAAGGUUAAUACUCCCAGCCUAGUGUGAGAAAAUAAGCUAAUUGAAAAAGGUGUUGACAAAUAAAAAUAUGGGGAGAAAUAAAAGGAUAAAUUGGUGUUGGAAAACACAGUAAAUUGAUAGUUCUUGUAAUUAAAUGCUUAGGAUCAAUAGUCACUAUUCUUGUAAAUAGUACCUACCUGUCCCUAAGACUUUAUUACAACCCGAAAAAGACCUAGUUGAUCCUUUACCCAAACAUCUGACUAUUAGUGGAGUAGAACACUAAGGGCAAGCUUAUGGUUCGUUCACUAGCAUGUACAAAUUCUUUGAUUGGGAGUGAGCGAUUUGAUUUGCUACUCCCUUAUUCUUGCAUAGCUACCAUUGUAAGUGAAUAUGGGAAAGUUUCCUAUAGUGAGGAUGCAGGCGGAUGAAAGCCAGUUUACUUAUUGUGUUUCUUAAAUUAAGUUUGACAACAUGUUAGAAAUUCAUUAUUGAAGAGAGAAGAAUUUGUACUAAAAUGUUUUUUGAGCUCAAAAUUAUUUUGAUUAGAUGAUGUAAGAAUUCGUUAUUGCAAAGUGUAAGUACUUAUUACCACAUAACUUUAAGAUUGUGAUGAAAAGAGGAAGGAAUAUGUUCUUGAAUUCAUGUGUUCGGGGAUGAACAAUCUUUUAAGUGUGGGGUGGUGAUCUUGGUCAUAUUUAUAUGCUCAAAGCACCCAUAUGCACCCAGAUUUGAACUUCGUUUAAGAACUUUAGUAUGAAUUCUUAAGUAUAAUUUAGCUUUUAUUCCAUUUUGUGCCUAAUGGAUAUGAUUAGUACUUUCAGGAUCAAAGUCAUAAAGAAUUGUGCAUAAUUGGAUACAAGGUGGAUAUGGAAGUAGUAAAGGAAUGCAAGGGACUGAAAUUAAGCUAAAAAAGGGAAGUUGGAACGAAAAAAUCCUCAUUUGAAGACACUCUGCGUCGCGAUGAGCAACAAAAUAGCAAUGGUCGAAUUUCAAUAAAGGUUUGCGAAACCACCGUAUUGCGGAGAAGUUUCUUUUAUCAGAAUUGGUAACCUGAAGGUUUACUGCAUCGCGGAGGAUGAAUAUUUUGCAAUUGUCCCAAUCCAGUGGCUCACCGCGAUAGUGACGCAUUGCGGUGAUGGUGCAUUUUAUAAUUGUUGAGGUGUACUUGAGCUCCGCGAUUUAUCAAAUUUUAAUAGAAAAUAGCAAUAGAAGGCAUGGCGCGACGCGCCGGGUGGAUAAAUUGGGAAUAUUUUAACUAUUUUAUCCCAGUUAUAAAAGGAAAAAUCCAAGAUAAUGUGGGGGACUUUUUGUCAAGUAGAGCAGCAGUAGAAAAAUAGAAAUUUCUCUCUUUUAGGGUACAUAAACAUUCUUUUGAAUUUCUUUAUUUCAAGGAUUGAUUUGGGUAUGAUUUGUUACUUAUUUUGGAUGGUUAAUUCAAACAUGAGUAGCUAAACACCCCCUUUCUGGGGUUGAGGCUAAGAACAUGAGCAAUCUUUAAUAUUCUUAAUGAUAGUUUCUUUUUGGAUUAUAAUAUGGGUUGUUCUUAAUUUCAUGAGCAUUACUAUUUUAAUGAUUGGCCACCAUUAGAAUAAAUUUAUAUUUCUAUGUGAAUUCGGGAGGAGAAUAAUAGGAUAGAACGAAGAAAUUAGGGAGCAAGGUUCUUAUUCUUUUAUAAAAUAAGGGAUUUGAAUUAGCAUCUAGGAUAGGGAUAUACCUAGAAGCCUUGCUUGGUUCACUUGCAGGAAGACAACUUCAUGAAUCUAGAAGAUUUGUUGUAACUCUGUGGGAGUUGUAGUUACAACAUUCAAUAGAUAGAAGAUCUGAGGUCGGGAGACUAAGAUUGUCGCAUAAACCUUGCGAACCAUCAACCCGAUAAUCAAUUAGACUGUGAAAAGAAUAGAGAAUUAUAUGAUUGUUGACUAUACCUCAACCCUGGAAUCGUCAUCAUUAUUUAUUACAACCGUUGUUUACUUUGCUUUAGUCAUCACUAAUUAUUUAUUGUUUAGUAAAUUUCAUUUUAUUUACAGAAUCAUCUUAAUGUUAGUACAAACCAAAUUUAGAGUGCUUUUGUGUUUUUAAAGAUUGAUUUGUGGUUUGUGUAUCAUCAGUUGCGGAUAAGAUCUUCAAAUAUUUUAGAGAUGGAUUUUUGGACUCGAAACGAUCAUUUUGAGUUCUUGGAUAUGUCCUUUGGGUUGACUAAUGCCCCAAUUUUUUCAUGGAGUUGAUGAAUCGGGUAUUUUAACCUUGUCCCGACUCUUUUUUCAUUGUAUUUAUAUAUGAUAUGUUAUUUUGGUCCAAGAGUGAGACCGACCAUGAGGAGCAUUGCUAGAUUAUACUUCAGAGGUUGAGAGAUGAGAAGUUGUAUGCUAAGUUCUCUAAGUGCGAGUUUUGGUUAUAGUCUAUCUCUUUCUUGGGUUAUGCUGUGACCAACAAUGGUAUAAUAUCGAUCCAACCAAUAUUAUAGUACUUCGUGAUUGGGCUAAUCCAAUUUCUCCCAUCGAGAUUUGGAGUUUUAUUGGUUUCGCAAGCUACAAUCGAUGCUUUGUUGAGGGUUUUUCAUCUAUUGCUACUUCUUUGACCAAGUUGACUUAGAAAAUAAUUUCUUUUCAAUGGUCUGAUGCUUGUGAGGCAAGCUUUCAAAAGCUCAAGAAUUUAUUGACUUCACUUCUUAUCUUGACUUUGACCAAGAAGGGUGUGAGAUUUACUAGUUGUGAUACUUUUGACAUUGGGCUGGGUCUCGUGUUGAUGUAGGAGGGUAAGGUAAUUUGCUAUGCUUCUCUUUAGUUAAAGCCUCAUGAGAAGAAUUACCCUACCCAUAAUUUGGAGUUGUGCAUUAUUGUAUUCAAAGGAUGUUGUGGAGACCCUAUUUGUAUGGAGUCUAUUAUGAUAUCUUCUCGGAUCACCACAGUCUUUAGUAUUUCUUCACCCAGUGGGAUCUUAAUAUGAGGUAACAUCACUGGCUUGAGUUGCAUAAGGAUUUUGAUCGUACUAUUCCCUAUCAUCUGAGCAAGGCUACUAUAGUGAAACUUCAAGUUAUUUUCUUUAUUCUUACUUAUUUUCACAGUUUAGAGCUUUCACACAGCUUCCCCAAGUCAUUUAUGACUUUUUGAAAUUGGCAGUUUGGUCACUAGGUAGUUCAUUUUUUUUUCAGAGCCAAGUCCUUAUUUUGAAGUCUUUGCUGGUUCAAACUGUCUAUCAGGCAAAAAAUUCAUUAAAAUGACCUCGCAUGCCAAUUCUAACUAUCUGAACAACUCUAGAAUGACAAUUUUAGGCUAGGUAGACUCUUAUUUCGAUCCCCGAGGCACUUGAGCUUAUUUUGAGCUAAAAGUCAAAAAUUAAGAAAAAUGGAAAAUGGGUGUGGGACCUAUUUUUUUAGUGAAAUAACCUCGUAUGGAAAUUUCAAAUGCGCUAUUGAGUCUAUUUUCCUAUAUGGGAUUUCGUAUGAAUCCCAAGGGGUUGGCAGAGACUUGGAAAAAUUCCAAGUCUUAGAUAGUGCUUGUGCACUCGUGUCUGCGAGCCUCUGAUCGCUUAUGCGAUCAGCCAGGCACCAACAAGUAUCACCUUAGUGACACCCUUGGCAGGAAGGAAAGUAUCACAUCUACAAUACUGAUGUCGCAUAAGCGACUUCUACACCUUUGGCCAGAUAUCACGGGUGCGAUAAGUCACGUAUGCAAUUCCCAUGUACUGGGAAGGGUAUAAAUGCCCCCUUUAUCCAAUUUCUCACUAUUUCUCAUCAAUCUCCAAGACAUUUAAACCUUAAAAAGUAGGAGAGCUUGGGGAUAACAUUAGUGGGUGAUUUUGGAGCUUAGGAAAGGAUUAAUUAAGCCUUCAAAUUUGUGGUAAGAUUUCAUUAUUUUCAUGGUUGAUUUUUCCAUUCUCUUCUAAAAAUUCCAUUUUGAGGGUAAAUGUUCCUUGAUCAUAGAGGGACUUUGAGUUUGUUUUGGAAAUGCACUUUUGGUAAAUGGUUCCCACAUGAGAUUUUUUACGUAACUUUGGACCUGAAUCACAAUAGUACAAUAUUGAUAUCAUUGUUCUUGUUUAAAUGAGUAGAUUGUGAUUUUCAUAGCGUGGCACCUUGCGAAAGUUUCUCAAAUGGGAAAGUCAGUGAUUUAGUAGAUUCUUUGGGCUUUAUUCAAUGCCCAGGUAGGCUAGGCUUACCUAUUUCAUAGAUUGAGCUAUCUCUAGUAUAAUUAUUAUAUUAUGCUAGAUAUGGAAUAAGAUUUAGGUAUUGAAAAUGUUAAUAAGGAGAUUUGGGUUAAUUGUACCCUUAGGCUACCUUGAAACCAUAGAUUUGGACUAGUUAGCGUAGUUAGUCAUAUCUUGGGUGAAUUGGGAUCCAUGGUAUAACUAGAAUGGGAAUGCCAUAAUUACUCAAGGUAGGUGAAUUUUCUUAGCUACUCAUGUUAGGGUGAAUUGUUCUUGAUUGCUUAAGUUAAGGAAAUUGCCCCUGUGCUAUUUUUCUAGGUAGGAUUGCCUUAGUUAAUCAGGUUUGGGGAAGACUUAUAUCCUAGGGAUAAUUAUGACUUACUCAAUAUCUAGGAAUGAACUUAGAUACCUUUGUCUAGUCCCAGGGUAGAAAUUUCCUAAGAUAAUCUUCGGGGAUUAGAGGUGGGUCCCUUCGACCCACCUUAGGCCAAGACAUAUGAUAACCUUGUAGAAUUAUUUAUGUAUGAUAUAGUCUUAUUUAUGGUGGUUUUGGCACUCGAGGAGGUUGAAUAUAAUUAUCAUAUAUGUUAGUUUGAUAUUGGAGGAUUGAUUCUAAUUCCAAGUAAUGCUAAUGAUAUUGACCAUGUGUGUGGCUAAUGAUAUAAGUUAUAAGUGUGAUUUAUGAAUUAUGCAUGCAAUUAUGGAUAUGACUUCGGAAUAUAAUUAAUGGCUUGGCCUAUAGAUAUGCUUAAUGCAAUAUACAUUGGUAUAAUUAAAGGUUAAUGUUUAGUUUAGAUGAUAUGAAGAUACCACCCAAACUACAUCUCCUUAUGAGGAUAAAGUAAUCGUUUUCAAAAAUAGUAACCCAACUAUGUUGGGGUCCAUACCAUCGGGAAUAUGUAAGAAGUCCUUCUGAAACUUGUUAAAAUCACUAGGCAAUGCGGAAAUUAAAAGGGAGGAUUUUCUAAAAUAGCAAAAAGUAAUAAGAAUUGGAUGUUUUUGAUUGUAAACAAUCUAAAACGAACACUAUUCCGAUACCUUUCAUGUAGAAUUUGAUAAUUUAUGUACCAUUAACCGUAUUGUUGACUCAUUAACAGAUUUCACUCUUUACUUUUUGAGUCUCAGGGUGUUGCCAUACCAACCCUUAUCCUGGAUCCCUAUUAACUAUACCUUUUGAGCCUCAAUUUAUUAGAUGAAAGAUAACAGUCUUAAGUAGAUAAUGCAGGUUUGGCAAUUUACUUCAAAUUACAAUUGUGAUAUUCUUUUCCCAAUAUCUACAUCCUGGUCAGGCUCAUAGUGAAUACAUGUGGGAUCUUAAUGUGUGUACACAUUAAGAAACCAAUCAAAGUGAAUAAAACCUCAAUACAUGAAAGAAUAUUUAUCUAGAAUGACUUGGCACUUCCUCUAUUUCAUUAAUCUUCAAGGAUUCCCACAACCUUAGCUAAGGAAAUUAGCCUACUUAUAGUGAUGAGAUCAUUCAUAGAAUUCAUAGACAAAACAAUAGAAUCAAUCUAACAAUAAUGUAAGAAGGAAACCUAAAGUCUCAAAUGGAAUAGCAAACGAGAAACCAACCAAGAAAAAUAAGAGUAUAUGGUAGCCCCUAAAGUCCUAUCUCUGGAUGUAAAUUAAACGACUAAAGGGUAUUUAUAGAUUACAACGAAGCUUUAGAAUUCAAAUCCUAAAGAAAAAAGAAAGACUUAACUAAAUGUACAUAAUAAUGACUAAAAACAUUAUAUGAGUAGGUUUAGGUUACAUGGAAAUCCUAAGAAACAACUUGAAAAUGAUUUGAGAAUUUUACAUCGCUGUCCACCUAUGGACCUACCUAUAGGCCAUAGAUGGAACCUACGAUCAUAGGUGGGGGUGCCGUGGGUGGGCCUCCAAAAUGUUGAUCUCUGAAUAUUGUUUUCUAAUACCUACAGACCUACCUACUCCUAGUAGGUAGUACCUACAAGGCGUAGGUGCCUUAGUAAGUAGUCAUUUUUUUCCUUUUCAUUUUGUUUUCUUCUAGUUAGCUUCCAACACCCAAUUUCCUACAAAAUCACUCUAAAAACACAUAAAAUCCAUCCAAAAUAGGCUUAAGUUCAUGCAUAUUUUCCAUGUUUAAGAAUCAUAAGUGCUAUAAAUCCAUAACACAUCAAUGUCUUAUAUCGAUAUAUAAUAUUCGAUUAUAGGUAUGAUAUGGCUUAUACAUAUAUAUAUAUAUAUGUAUAUGUAUAUAUAUAUAUAUAUAUAUAUUUAUAUAUAUAUAAUAUGGCUUAUAAUUAUGAUUUUGCUCGUAGAUAGAAUAUGGCCUAUAGAUUAAAGAAAAGGCUUGUGGAUAUAAUAUGUCUCAUAGAGAUGAUGUGGCAUAUAGAUAUGGUUAAUAACCUAUAGAUAAGAUAUGUGGCAUGUAAAAAUGGUUAUUAAUAUGUAUUCCACAUAUGCUUAGCAAUAUUGCUUAUGAAUCAGUAUGUAUGUGGUCUCCGAAUAUGGCUAAUAAUAUAAUUUAUUGACAUGAUUAUGGAUGAGACCUACAGAUAUGAUUCCUUAUCUGGUUUAUAAUUAUGAGUAAAGGGAUAGUUUAUAUCUAUGAUUUAUUGGUAUAUUGAUUGGGUUUGGCUUAUUGAAAUAGAUCACAUAUAUGGUUUAUUGAUGCAGUUUGUAAUUGUGAGUUUUGAUUCCAGUCUGGUAAUUAUUAAUGUUAUUGAUUAUCUAAGUUUCGAUUCAAGUCUGACAAUUAUUAGUGAUAUUGGUAAUAUGAGUUCCAACUCAAGUUCGGGUUGCUUAUAAUAUGGUCUCUGAUGUAUGUAUGCUUAGUUAUGAUGUGGUAAUCAGUAAAUUAUUUUCAUGUGGUGUUUUAGUUUCUUGAUUGUACUCUACAGGCUUAUAGGGGCUUGCAUGGGGUUAUUUUCUUUCUAGACUUAUUAGUUUAUAGGUCCCAAUUUAGAAGUUAUAAAUGUAAGAUUGUUAUGUUACUAUUCUGGUCUAAUUUAUUUAUGUAUGUACAAUAAUGUUGAAGCAUAUUUCAGGGUUUGCCCCUUUUUAUCUAGACUUAGUUUAUGUGAUCUUGUAUCUUAUCGUAUUCAUAUCAUGAUUUAUCUUAGUCGGCCAAUGAUGCCUACUGAGUACCAAAGGUUUUGAUACUCAUACUACACUUCUAUACCUUUUUCGUGUAGAUCCAAAUACUAGUUAACGCCGUUGAUUUAUUAUUCUUGCAGAGUUAAUUUUGGAGAUUGGGUGAGCUCUUGGAGUUAGAGUUACCCUUUUCCUUCUAGUUAUCUAUGUAUAAUAAACUUAUAGAUUAUUUUCUUUAUUACUGCUUAUUUUAACUGAUAGAGCUUUCCCAUAGCUGGCCCCAAUCAUUUAUGACUUGGUGGAACUGAUAGUUUGGUUACCUGGUAGUUCAUUUAGUUUUUGGAACCAUUUCCUAAUUUAGUAGUCUUCAUUGGUUCCAAAUGGUCAUUGAGCAACAACUUUAGUAAAAUGAUAUUGGAUUGGAAAGCUGACUUUGCUAACAUAUCUCGAAUAUUGAAAUCUAUGUGGUUGUAUAUUUCAAUUACUCAUAUCGGACUCUGGGUUCCUCUCGAGGCUUUGGCCAAAACUUGGAAUCAAAUUCCAAGUUUCAGUCAUCAUCUAGUGCCCAAAGUGGCGUGAUUGCGUGAGGAGUUGUGCGAUCACAAUGGCCAUAAUUGUGGCUAGCAUUUGCUCAUAAUUUGUGCUCCUGAGUUCCUAGGCAAGGCCUAUUUAAGUGUUGUCUUGAUGAGAAUUGGUCAUUUGUCCCUCCCUCUUGAGCUCUAAAACCCUAAUAAAGUGUAAAUUUCUCUAAGUAAGACUUGUGUGUUGAUUGGGAGCCUAAAUAUCUUGUGUACGCAAUUAUCUAUGAAUCUAAGGUAUGAAUCCUUUAAAUUUUCGUGUUGAUUUCUUAUUUUUGGACUCAAAAACCCAUAUGGACUUGAGGCUUAAUUUAAGCCCAAAUGUACAUGACAUUCUCUUGAUUAUUUAGGUAUAUGACUCCCUAGUGAUAGUUGAGCAAUUGGUUAGUCUCGAAAACUCAUUUUUCAUAUAUGGAACCCACUUAAGGGUUUUUACUGUCGUGCUGGACCCAAAGUACAAUGGUGUAAUAUGGGUGCUGUUAUUCUCAUAAUGCAUAGAUUAGGUUGUUGGUAUCUAGUCUCAUGGAAGAAGCUUCGAGGAAAGGGAAAGCAAAGAUUGUUAGUUUGUGAGCUACUUAGAAUUGAGGUAGGUUAGGCUUACUUGUAGAUAGAUUGAGCUUUAUUAUUGUAUGACUUUGAAAUCUUGCUAAGAUUGGUUGAGGUCUUAGCAGUUGAAAUGGUAGAUAAUAAUGUUAGGGAUUAGUUAAAUCAUUUAGGCUUUUGAACUUAUUAAGUGUGAUAUGUGACUCAUAGCUUAAAACAUUGGUUAGGUGGAAUAGUAAUCUCAUGAAUAGCAUGAGAAUACUCUAGUUGCUCUAGAAGAUGAGAGUGAACUUGUUCAUUCACCUUAGAGGUAUGUUAACUAGAUAUGGUUGUUUGUGAAAUUUCUUUAGGUUCUUGGGAUGACUUAGGAGGAAUACUUGAGGAAGAAUUGUCCUAUAGAACUAGUGUGGAUUGGUAAGCCUAUAGGGUAUGAUUUAGAUAACUUAGCCUAAUUCUAGGUAGAAGUUAGACUUGUAAAAGAGAAAUUUGGGAUUAUUAGAAAUGGAACUUUACCCACCUUAAGCUUGACCUAAAUAACUUCUUUAGUGACCUAGAUAUGUGAUGGAUGUCUAGAUUAUGCUUUAGGUAGUAUGAUGGCUAAACCCGAUAAAUGUUUUAUGCAUGUUGUCCAUGUUAGGGAAAUGUGUAUACUUGAUUAGUUAUCUUGUGGUCAUGAUAUGGAAAGCAUUGGAAAGUCUCGUGAAAAAAAAUCUAAGGUUAUGCUAUCGCUUAACUUUUUGGCUAGCUUGCUAUGUAAGUAUUGAGUUAUAUCAUAAUUCUUAUUAUGAUUUUGGCUUAAUGACAAAGAUAACUAAGCUAAUACUUGUGUAAAAGAAUAUCUUGCAUUAUUAUUGUGAACCCUGUGAGUAGAAAAGGAUUCUAGAAGGCAUACCACUGAAUUAUUAUUGACUUGUUAAUACUUAUGAUGAAACUUUGAAAAGUGGAGAUUGCUUAUAUUAUUUAGAUAUGCAUACCUAUGCCUCUACUUAUAGAAUGUAGUGAUGAUUAAUGGUAAAGUACCAUGUUAUGCAUUCCCUACCUCUCUUAUACUCCAUUAUUUAUAGGCAUGUACUUCCCAUUAAUUCGGCUAUGUAUAUAUGUCUAUAUUGAUGUUAGAUGAUGCAUGGUAAAUCCGAAAGAGGUACUGAUGUUAUGAUGUUGCUCGGUGAACCCGGAGGAUAUAUUUAUGUUAUGAUGAUGCUCGGUAAAUCCGAAGAGGUAUUGAUGUUAUGAUGUUGCCCGAUGAACCUGGAGUAUAUAUUGAUGUUAUGAUGAUGCUUGAUAAAUUUGGAAGAGGUAUUGAUGUUAUGAUGUUGGCCGGUGAACCCAGAAGAAAUAUUAAUGUUAUGAUGAUGCCUGGUGAAUCUAGAAGAGGUAUUGAUGUCAUGAUAAUGUCCGAUAAAUUUAGAAGAGGUAUUGAUGUUAUGAUAUUUCCUAGUGAACUCAAAGGAUAUAUUGAUGUUAAGAUGAUGUCCGAUAAAUUCAAAAGAGUUAAUGAUGUUAUGAUGAUGCCCUGUGAACCCAAAGGAUAUAUUGAUGUUUUGGUGAUGUUAUAUAUGGUAAGUACUUAUAAAUAGGUAUAUGUAUGGUUAUUCCCUUGUAAUAUUACUCCAUAUGUACAUUAGGAUCAUGAUGUUAUCCUUCAGAGGUUGUCUCUAAUUCUCUACUAUUAAUCACUAGUUAAAUAGUAUGGCUCUUGUUAAUACUAAAUAGUUGAUAGAAGUAGAAUAUGCCAAAUAACGUAUUUGGACUAAUGGGUAAGUAUAAUUAUGUGUAGAGUUAAGGAUUCAUCUAGUAAACAUAUUUAUCUUGAAGGAAUGGUUUAAUUAUGGGAUUUCUCCUAGUAAGUGGAUUAUGUGAUAACAAGUUGUGUAUAUAAAGUAGUUAUGCUACUUGAUGGAUAGAGAUCUAGAAUACUAGUUAGUGAAACUUGUCUUGUGAAAUAUGGUAACUAGUAGCUAAGCUUGCUAAAUGGUCAAUGAAGAUGAUUGACCUAGCAUUGUUAAUGAAUGGUAAGAUUGAUACCUAGCAACUGAGGCCGUUUUCUCAAGUGUUAACUUAGAGAUUUAUGGUGUUAGUUAAUAAGAGAUGUUGAAUAAUAGAUAGAUAAGUGUGCUUGAUAAUAUGUAACCUCUUCCUAUGUCAUAACUUGUGUGCCUAUGACAUCGAGGAAUGAACUUUGGGUUUAAAGGUGAUUAUUGCUUAGUGUGCAUCUUGAUGAUUAAGUUGGCUAUUUAAUGAAUGAUAAUUAGUUUCUACUUCUUGAAGAAGGUCUUUAAAGAAUCGGUUAGACUAAAGAUUGGAGUUCUUAUGAUGACUUGUAAACUAGUAGUUAAUAAUAAGUAUGGGUUAGUUAAUAAUGACUAGAUGAAGUGUACUGAUACCAUAGAAACUUAAAUGGCUAUAUGACUAUGCUUAUGAUUACCUUGGUAUAGGAUAUCUCACUUAUGAUAAUUGAUGAUGUUUAUAGAUCUUAGUGAAUGGCCCUUGGCGGGAAUUAUGGAAAUCGUGGAUAUGGAAAGUGGUAAACCUUGGAUAUUGAGGGGCUGGUUGCAUGUGUAAUAUUUUAAUGGUGGUUUUCUUCGUGCACUCUCCGGUGGUAUGGGAUGCCGUGAUGAGUUCUUUACUUUAUUUUACCUUAUGUGUACUUCCCGGUGGUGUAGGAUGCCAUGGUGAGUUCUUUUACUCAUGUUCUAAUAGAUGCAUGUGCGCUUAACUUGAUAUUUAUGAAUUGUGAUUAUGUUAAUAUCGUCCAUGUUUUCGUGUCUCUUACUCCUUUUAUAUGACGGUAUUGGUAUAUGAUAAAUGUUUAUGUUGUAAUAAUAUUCUAGUUUGAUUAUUGAUUAUGUAUAGUGAUGAUGGAGUCGAUUCAGGUUUGAUUCUAUACCUUGACUUAUAGUUAUUGUCUUACUUUAUAUCAUCUGUAUAUCAUAAUUUAGCCUAGUUGGCCUAUCAUGCCUACUAACCCAUUGUUUUGGUACUCAUAAUACACUUUUGUACCUUUUUAAUGUAGACCCGAGUACUAGUUACCACCACUGAGUUGAGAUCAUGCUGUGUUGAUCUUCUAGAGAUAGGGUGAGCUUUUGGAGUUUGAGUUGCCCGUUUCCCUCUUACAUUAUUUCAGUCUUUUGUAUUUGAGACAAAUGUAUAAGACUAUUUAGACUUGUCGAACUUAGAUGCUCUUGUACUAAUAUUACUAGGUCAUAGGAAUCGGUAUCCAUAGUUGUUUGUCUAUUAUGGAACAUGGUUGGUGUUGUUGUCGUGAUCAUCUAUUAUGCCCUUGUUGGGCAUUUCGGCCAAAGUAACCCAUUGUAUUAGCCCUGGGUUAAUGUUUUGGCUUAGCUACUGGAGGGUUUUAGUAGGUUCUAUCAUGACUCAUGAAUCAAGUCGUGACACUAUGCUUAGUCUUUUAUUUUUAGGUGGAUUGUAUUAGUCUAUUUAGUAGUCAUAGUUCUUUUGUGGUAGAUCUUGUAUCGACAUUACUAAGACUUGGGAUAUUUGUUGGUUUCUAUCUGUCUAUUAGAUCUUUAUGACUAUUUCAUCAUUAUUUGAGUCUUUAAUUGCUAAAUUUUGUCUUUUAGGCCAUUUCCCACCAAGUUAUCCCAUUGGAUCUAGCUCUGGGCUAUGGUUUGGCUUACCUACUGGUGGGAUAGAGUAGGUUCCAUCAUGACUCGUAAGUCGAGUCAUGAUAGCUAAUGUGGUUGCAGAUGCCUUGUGUCAAAAGUGGACUAGUAAGAGUAGCAUUGACAAUCUAUUAACCAAAGAGAGGCCUUUGGCCUUAGAGGUUCAGUCUUCGGCUAACCAGAUGGUUAGGCUUGGUAUUUUAACACCGAGGUAUGUUUUGGAAUUUAUGGAUGCUAGAUCUUCUUUGAUGGAGUAGAUAUAGGCCCAUCAGCUUGAUGAUGCUGAUUUAAGAGUGAUUCGGGAUAAGGUGCUGUAUGGCAAGGCUAAGGAAGCCUCACUUGACUCUGAUAGUGUUUUGAGAAUUAGAGGCCAAGUUUAUGUGCUGAGAGUGGGUGAUUGGGUGAGAUUUAUUUUUUAGGAGGCUCAUUGUUCUAGGUAUUCCAUUCAUUCGAAAUCGACAAAGAUGUACUAUAAUUUGAGACAACACUACUUGUGGGGUGGUAUGAGGAGGGACGUAGUAGAUUUCAUGGCACAUUGCCUAUAUUGUCAGCUGGUGAAGGCCGAGUAUUAAAGUCCUAGUGGUUUGCUUUAGAGGUUACCCAUUCUCGAGUGGAAAUGGGAAGGAAUCGCUAUGUACUUCGUGACUAAUCACUAUGGACAUUGUGACUAUGUUGCCUCAUACUUAUUGUGGUUUUGAUAGUGUUUGGGUCAUCAUGGAUCGAUUGACCAAAUUUGCUCAUUUCAUUCCAAUUCAGGUUUUCUUUAGAGCCGAGAGGUUGGACCAUAUCUAUGUUUAUGAGAUAGUUCAUCUCCAUGGUGUAUUAGUGUCUAUUAUCUCCGAUAGAGUUUUAGUUUUCACUCUCACUUUUGGAAGGCAUUUCAGCANNNNNNNNNNNNNNNNNNNNNNNNNNNNNNNNNNNNNNNNNNNNNNNNNNNNNNNNNNNNNNNNNNNNNNNNNNNNNNNNNNNNNNNNNNNNNNNNNNNNNNNNNNNNNNNNNNNNNNNNNNNNNNNNNNNNNNNNNNNNNNNNNNNNNNNNNNNNNNNNNNNNNNNNNNNNNNNNNNNNNNNNNNNNNNNNNNNNNNNNNNNNNNNNNNNNNNNNNNNNNNNNNNNNNNNNNNNNNNNNNNNNNNNNNNNNNNNNNNNNNNNNNNNNNNNNNNNNNNNNNNNNNNNNNNNNNNNNNNNNNNNNNNNNNNNNNNNNNNNNNNGGAGUUGCUGUCACAACCCAAAUUCUCAGGUUAUGAUGGCACCUACUAUCACCCACCAGUAGGCAACGCAAAGCCGUAGUCCAGAACGUCUAGUAAUAGGAUACCCUAAUAUAUAUAGAAAAUAAUGUUGAAUAGAUGCAAUAAGAAAAUCAAAUACAUAAUAAAGUCCCAAAACCUGGUAGUAUCAGAAUGUAAUACCAAGGGAAUUACACUGUUACAACUUAUUUUUGAAUACAACAUAAAGACUAGUCUAGUACAUGAGAGUGAAGUAAGUAAUACUUCGAACGUCAAGAACUCACUCUAAGUCUCCGAACUAUGUCUUCUCCGCACGACACACAUAUCUACGAUGAUAACCCGUACUAUGAUAUACAGGCUACAAAAGCAUAGUUUGAGUACCAAUUGAAUGAUAUUCAAUAGGAAACUAUCGACUGAGCUCCAAGAUAAGCAGCUAUACAUUACAUGUAAACAGAAUGGAAAACUACAACCAAGAGUCUAGUUAAUCAUAUAACAAAGCCAAUAAGGUAAUAAGGAUAAUCUAUCCUAUUUAUGUCCAAGAUACUAACAUAGUAAGGCUAACAAAGUAUCAAGGAUGAACUAUCCUAUUCUAGGCAUACUCAGAAAUCUCAAUAUUAUACCGUGUAUCCCUGGACAAUAUACGAAUAAAGGGUGAAAGAAGAAUAUAUAUCAAUAUGCAAGGAUCUACACAAAUGAAGCAAGGGAUAUACAGUAAUACCAUAGCUACAUAUAGAUAUAUAUAUAUACACACACACACAUAUAUAUAUAUAAAUGUAAGAUCAACUCGAAAAACAACUUAUAUCAUCAUAUGUUCAUUUUAUGGUCUCAUAAUCCUAGUAGGAUUUAGUGCUAACCUGCUCAGAGUUUCUAAUCCAUAUGUCUCAUCAUGAAUUAAUUAUGUAUAAUAAUGAAUUCAUAAUAUAGGAGAGAUCGAGACCAAAAUCAUACCUCAAAUCUCGAGACCAAAUUAAUGACCGAUCUGUUAUAAACUAGCCAUACCAAUGAUCAUAACAAUGAUAAUAACACUAUCAAUAACGACUCUAGUAACCAACUAUUUUGGAUAACCAAUUACCUAUCUGAGUCUAUGCAUACCCCCACCAACCUAAGAUCGAAAGGUUUAUCCAACAUACACCAACACAAGGCAUAGUCAUCACCCAUAUCUAUACAACCCUCCCAUAUGAGCUUAUAGAUACAGGAGUAUAUUGGUGAUAGCCAAUGUGCAUGCAAUAAUGAAUGCAAUAGAAUUCACAAUAGCACAAGCAUCAUCAUGAUCAUAACCAUCAUCAUCCUUAUAACCAUCAUAAUAAUCAUCCUCCGGCCUUGCCGGAUAUAUAUAUACACAUAUGUAUAUAUAUAUAUUUUUUCCAUACAUAGGGCUAGCCAGACUUGAACCAAUAGAUGUGCACAUAGGUACAUCAAUAUAAUCAUCCUUUGGCCUUGCCACGCAUCAUUACAUCAUCAUAAUAUCUCCAAAAUGCAAAAAACAUUGCUGUAUUUUCAACACUCCAGAUAGGAAAAAAGAUCUAUGUCCAUCCCCAACAACCUUUCAAUCCACAUUGGAAAAUUUAGGCUUUCUCUAAUGGGAGUCAUCAAAGGAGGAAUGGAAAUACGCUGAUUAGAUAAGGGCAAAGAAAAAUAGCCAUCGCUUGGUUUUGUUUUGACACUCAAGUGACUCACCCUACUAAAGAAGAUUGUUGCAAUGGUUAGAUUUCAUCACCUCUAUCUACCCAACUAGUACUAUUUGAUCUAAAAAAUUCAACCUUGAAAUUUUCUCUCCCACAAAAAAACCCUCUAUCCCCAAGGACCUUUACUUGGUUGGGAAAGCUUUGGUGCCCCUACUCCCAAGAAGUUAGCCUUUCUAGGUAUCAUCAGAUAAUCAUAAUAUCCUCCCGCCUUGCCGGGCAUCAUCAUAUCAUUAUAAUAUCCUCCAGCCUUGCCGAAUAUCAUCAUAUCAUCAUAAUAUCCAAAUCAAUGUCAAUAAUAGAGAGCGAGCCCCAUGCGGUCUAAAGUAUAGAACAAGCCCUACGAGGGCUAAAGUAAAGAACAAGCCCCACCAGAGCUAAAGUAAAUAAUCAUGAAAGAGAAGCAAGGUAGAGUACAUUUCCAUAAUUCAUCAUUAAUCAUUAAUAUAACAUUAUCAAUAGGCCUCUAUGCAUAACAUGAAUAUUAUAACUAUCAUCAGGUUUUACCUAAAAUUUAUAUCAUCAAUCCGACAUCUUCCUCCCUCCCAUGUUAGAGAUAUGUGUAUUUGGAUAUGAUGGGUACAUGAACUCAAGCCGUGGCUAAAAUAGUGUAAAUUCGUAAGUUUAUUCUCAACGUAAACUUUAGGACUAAAUUAUUAUAUAAGUGUUGAAAAGGAUAGAAUGUCUCAUGACUCAAAUAAUUAGUAGUAUCAAAUCAUAGAUCAGAACUUAUCACAGUCAAGUAUUUAAAACCUCAUUGUAAACCUCUUUUAUAUGUAAGUUAUUUAUCAAAACAAGUAUUUAUUAUUAUGAAGAAAUUCGUUUUAAGGUAGAAAGUGAACUUUAGCCCUUAGUUAAUGACAACAAUAAUAAAAUUAUAAUCUAAUCGGUUGAUAUAAAUCAUCGAUGCAACGAUCAUGAAUGUACCAAAUCUAUGCAUUCCAUCACUAGUAUUCAUACAGUGGAACGAUAUGCAUUAACAUAUCAAUUAACUACAAUCUCAUCCUUAGCAAGGAUAGACACUUCCCGAAUGGUCAACUUAUAUCAUAACAUGGACUUGGGCCCAAUAAUGUGUCUAAAACAAUUAUAACAUCAUAUUCACAACCUUUGGUCCAUAUACAUAUUCAGAACCCAUGUCAAAAUAAUAUUUAUAAGUCAUCCCAUUUUAAAUAAGCCAUAACAUAUAUAUAAGGCAUAAUAUCUCUAUAUGCCAUAAGGCAUAUCUAUAAUCAUCUUAUAUAUAGGAGGCAUCUCAUAUCUAGGAGGCAUAAUACAUCAAUAAGAAUCUCAUAUCUAGGAGGCAUAAUUCAUCAAUAUAACAUAACUUAUAACUAUGAGGAAUAUCACCUCCAUAAGCUAAUUAUAACAUCUAAGAGGAAAUAACAUCUCUAAUAGGACUUAUAUCACUUCCAUAAGGAAUAUCAUGGCCAUAAGCCAUUGGUCAUAAUCCAGGGUAAGUCAUCACAAUUUACCAAGAAAUAAAGUCAAUUUAUUCUAAAAGCUCAGUAGUCUUAACUAAGCCUAGCAUCCGCAACUAAGUCCACAAGGGCUAAUACAAGUCUUGGCCUAAGUGGGCUAGACGAACCAACUUCUAAUCCUCAAUUUCCAUAUUUAGGAAAUUUAUACCCCAAACUAGGCUAAAGUAUCUAGUUAAAGUUCUUGAUGUCAAGGAAGCCAUAACCAAUCCUAAGGUAAGAACUUCAUCAAGAAAUAUGGGCAUGUAAGUUAAUUCUACUCAAAUUAUGAUUUCAAGAUCACUAGACUAGCCCAAUUAUGGUUAAUCAUACCAACCAUGAUUCAAACACUUAAAAUACAUCCCAAACCUAGAAUCAUACCAUUUCUAUGCUACAUAUCAGUCCAAUCUUAGGAGAAGGUAAUAGGAUUCUAAAGGGUAAUAAGCAUUUUACCUUUCGGGUCCAAAACCCUCAUCUAAUCCCAAGAAAUGAAUAAUCAAGACUAAGUCAUUCUACCCAUAAUCAAUCAUAACAUCCAUAUUCACAUGUAAUAUACAUCAUCAACAUCAUCUUAUGAAGAAGAGUAGACAGAAGCCUACCUCAAAGACAAACCACGAAUCCUAAAUCACUAACCAAUGUCCAUCUUUACUUCACAAUCCCAGAAUUCCAUCAGACUAUCAAAAUCAUAAUCUACUUAUCAAUAUGAGAAUAAUGAUACCCAUAUUUCACUAUUGUACUUUGGGUCCAAAAACGACACCAAAACCCUCAAGUGGGUCCCACUUACAGAAAAUACAUUUCUGAGGCCAAACAACCAAACAUGGUAUCAAGUUCAUGGAAUUAAAAACCUAAAAUAGGUGAAAACUAAGCAAAUUUUGGGCUAUAAUCAAGUCCUAAGUGAAUUUAGGGUUUUGGAUCAAUAACCAAGAAAUUCAUCAAGAAGGUGAUGAAAUAUUACCUUAUUUGGUUGAUAAUCACGAUAAUAGAUGUUUAGCAAGCUAUCAAGUCACCCACAAGACCUAAUUUUAAGUUACCACACCCUUCUAGGGUUUCUAGAUCUCAAAGAUAAAGAGAAAAAUAACCAAAAUACAGACUAAGGGGUCAUUUUAUAUACCCAUACUAGGUGUGAAGAUAUUUUUGUUACAAUCUACUGAUUUCUAUCACAAUACUAUGAUUGCCAUAUUCCUUGUGCUAUCGUAAUAUCCCCUCUGUGCACUAGAUAUUAGCAAAGUCAAAAACUUGUUUUUGACCCUCAAAACUUAUUUGGAACCCUAUGAACAUGAUCAAAUAGUAAUUUUUGAGUGGAAACUACAUUUUAGAUCCAAUGAAAUCAUCACCACUUUCAUCUAAGAUCAUUUUGGAAAAAAGUAUGGCCCACACCUAUAGUUUUAUUUUUUUAUCAAAUUCACUCAGUAGCCCAAACUAAGUUUAGAAGCCUUGGAACCUGAACCAAAGGUCCACCUAGACUAAAAUUAACACUUUAGACACAAAAGUGAAGUCAGAUUUUCCAUCUGUUGGUACAUUUGAAAUUUGCAUACAAUAUCAUUUUACUAAAGUUUUUUGGUAGUGGCCAUUGGGAACCAAUGAAGACUUCUAAAUAAGGAAUUGGUUCUUAAAACCAAAUAAACUUCUCGAUAACAAAAUAGUCAAUCCUAGCAAUUAAUAAAUGACUUGGGAAAGAUAUUAAGAAGAUCUAAUAAUAAAAAUAAAUAGAAUAAUGAAUAAUGAUCGAAAGGGUCAUGAUAGUUAUGCACUAAUGUUGAUCUUAGAACAACAUUUCACCCCCACAUAUCCAAUCAGUCGGUAUAGACUAAUCAAUUUUUGGAGAAUAUAAUCUAUUUUUGUGUUUUAGACUUUGGAGGUUGGUGGUAGCAAUAAUUAUCCUUGGCCAACUUUGCAUAUUAUAAUAGCUACUAAUUAAGUAUUGAGAUGUCACUUUUGAGGCUUUAUAUGAUAGGCAUUAUCGCUCUCUUGUUGGUUGGUUUAAGAUUUUUAAGAUUAGACCUCGAGGUAUGGGUUUUUUUUCAUAAGUCUCUAGAUAGAGUUUGAGUCAUUCAGAAUAGAUUUUGAGCUACUUAGAGUAGGCAGAAGUGUUAUUCAGAUCGUAGACUUCUUGCCUUAAAAUUUAGUAGUAGUGAUCGAGUUUUUCUUUAUUCAUCUACCAUGAAGGGCAUGGUGAGAUUUAAGAAGAAGGGAAAGCGUAUCCCUAGGUAUAUCAUGAGAUUUGAAAUUCUUUGGACUAUUUGGGAUGUAUCUUAUGAGUUAGCAUUACACAUAAAUUUUUAAGUAGUUCAUGUUAUUUUUCAUAUACCAAUGCUAAGACGUUAUAUUCUAGAUGAGUCUCUUGUUAUUCGUUGGGACAUAAUACAGUUAGAUAAAAGUUUGUUCAUUAUUGAGGAGCUAAUUUCCAUUUUAGCCCAAGAUGUUAGGUGAUUUAAUUCCAGAGAUAUUUCGGGGGUUUAGGUCUAGUGGAGACACCAUUCUAUAGAUGUGGAUACUUGGGAGGUUGAGCCCGACAUGCAUUGUAGCUACCCCAAUAUUUUCACUGAUUUAGGUAUUCUUUUACCUUUAGCUUGUGGAAAAACUAGAUUCUUAUUAGUGGAUAUUGUUAUGACUUGAAUUUUAUGACCUUUCCCUUUUAUGUUUUCUGACCAAUUUACCCCUUAACAUGGUUGUUAUGAGUUAUUUCUGGGGUAUGGGUAUGGUUGGCAUGAUUCUGAUAUGAUCCAAAGUGAUUUGUGAGAGUUUGUGACUAUUAGAUAUUAGGAAGGUCUCAUAGUUAACUUCAGUCAACAUUUGUUAUUUCGUGUGUCGAAAGGAAAAACAGACUGCUCUAGUAGAUCUAAAACGUCAAUUUUGGGUUGGUAGCAUAGUUGGUUUAAUUUUAUGGCUUUUGGAUAUAAUAUUUACCCUUGGUUUGGGAAUUCAUGAAAUUAAGUCUCGAGAUCAAUUUUGUUAAAACAAUCUCUUUUUAAAAAUCUUAUGCCUCCAUUAAGUCUGAAAUAUCAAAUUUUAUCGACUAGCAUAUUUUGGUUGCCUUCAUGAGAUUAUAAAUGAGUCUCGAGGGGGUGAUCAAUAACUUUUAACAAAUUUGUUAAUACUAAUUAAAAAUAUGGUUCAGCCACUUUAGCAUCCAAAGGACUACUAAAGUGGUAGCCUCUUUAGAGGACAAUGCACCACUAUGGUGGAGGCCUUGUCGGUAGUCAACUACGGCUAAAGUGGGCACCUACAACUUUAGCAGUACGUAACCAUUUAGCAGCCUCCUAAUUUUAGGUUGCACCACUUAAGUAGUCAACUAAUAGCUAAGUGAUGACUUCUUUUGCGAUCAUAGCUGGGCAUCUUUAAAAGCCAAUUUUCUCAAAAUUUUUUCCAUUUUUGUGAAUUUUAGCUUUGGGUUGAGAGAUUUUUGGACAAUUUCCUCCAUUCUUGAGCUUGGGUUAACUCUUAGUCACUAUUUCAAUUACUUUACUUUGAUUAUUGUCAUUAAAACUAAUUAAAUUAAAAUUUCAAAAUUGGAAAUUCAGGGAUUUUGGCAUAGAAGGCCUAAAAAGGAAUUUUCUUCAAUUUAAGUCUUGUAUUUAACCUAUUUUCACUUGGGUUUUAUCCUAUGUCUUCCUUUAAUUAUGGAUAAGGUUUUUCUAAAAAAAGUCCAAUUGUUACCCUUUUAUUUUGUGUAUCCAUUUUGGGGGUUCGUUUUGACCUCUUGAAAGUACGCUAUAUGAUAUUAUUGGCUUUCUUAUGAUGUGUAGAUUCUAUAUUUACAUGUUUUAGUUGAUUUUAGGGUGGUUAGAGAUGAGAAAGUUCUAUGUUGAAGUGCUUCGGUCUUGAACUUUGACAUUGCGAGGUAGGUUAUGGCUUAAAUUUUUUUAGACUAAGUUAGCUAGUUAAUAUUUACAUAAAAGCAUGCUAUGAGUACGGAUAAUAACCAUGGAAAUGGUAUUUUAAUGAUAUUAUUACUGUUGUGUGCCAGUGCUUGGGCUAAUAUUAUUGUUGGUGGUACUUGAGAGGAUGUUUACUGUGUUUUUCCUAUCUGGGUGCUUUAUAAGUAUAUUAUUGGCCUUGUAUAUGCAAAAUUGGUUGGUUUCUUCAUGGUGGAAAUACCCAAGUUGGAAUUAAUAUGAUAUUAGUGAUGCCUUACAUGCAUAUUUAUUUCAAUGGUACAUUGCUUAUACUAAAUCAUGGAUAGUUGACAAAUUGAGUAGAUAAUGAGAUAACAUGUGCUUAUAUUGAAUGGAUUCAAGAUCAUUUACUAGUUUGGUUGUGAGAGUUACAUCCUCGUAUCACACAUACAUUCUUGAGACAUUGGUACCACUAAGAAAACACUAAUUUUUGACAAAAAUAAGACAUUUUACGAAACACUGUGUUGCAGUCCACUAGUUGAAGAGGAGAUAUGGAUAUUGAGAUUGAGAAUUAAUAAGCAUAUGGGUUAAGAACCCCCAUAGGUCCUACCUGGAAGAUAUGACGCUCAAUAGGUGUAUGCAGAGAUUAUACGAUAACCUUAUUCAUAUUACAUUAUCCUUAUCAUCAUCACUGCAUCUCAUACAUUAUGCAUCUUCAGUGUUGUACUUUUGUGUUUUGUUCGAUUCUUAUAUAUUUUGUUUCUUUAAUGUACUGGUUAUAUUAUCUAUGUGAUAUAUUUAGAACUGAAAGUGGAGAUGGUGUGAGCUACCAUUUAAGAUAAUUUUUCAAUACAAGUGACAUGCUCAUAUUAUUUAUUUACGUACCUUAUUUUCUACUUUGCUUAGUCGGCCUAUGAUACCUACUAGUAUAAGUGGAUCGUACUCAUCCAUACUAUUUCCUUUCAAUGCAAAUUUUGUUAUGAGUGUAUUAUGUGGCAGUUGUGAUCUUGGUCAGUUAUUGACAUUUUUGAGGUAUUUGCCGCUCUAUGCCUUCAGAGUCAACCUCGAGCCUCUUUCUAUCUAGUUGAUGUCUUUAUUUUGCAUUCAGAGACAUACUUGUAUUUCUUGGAUUUAGUUGUAUUUCUAGUUUAGAGUUGUACAUAGAUUGUUCUUACUUUAUUACACUAGGUUUUAGGAUGGUUUACAGUAUCAUUAUUAUUUAGACUAAUGCUAUUAUUAUACCUGUAUGGUCCAACUUUGCUCUAGAAGUAUCGCCUUGGGAAUUGUUGUGUUUUUUCUUUUUACUUAUUAGUUUAGGUGAUCGACUUACUUAUCAAGGCUACAAUAAGUGGCAUCAUGAUGUUAGUUUUUUGGGUCAUGACAUAGACUAUCGACAUAUUGAAAUCGUACUUGUAAUCUCUAAGUCUAAUGCCUCUACCUUUAUUCUACCAGGAAAAGCAUAUAAUUAUCCAUGCCCCACCACUGAACUAAGAGCUUGACCACCUCCAAGAGGACCCUAAGAAUUACUUCUUCCACUCUAGUAACCACCACUGGCUAGUGGUUCCACUCCUUUAAGAGGUUGAGCUUCCAGUGUUGAAGGAUCGAUUAACCUACAAUGGGGGCACUCUCUAGAAAAUUGAUCAAUCACCUAACUUGCAAGCCUAUUCGCCCUACUAAAAAAAGAUGAUUGGACCGACCUACAAUGAUCACCAUGGCCUAAAGAUCCAAAACAAGAACCUCACAAUGGCUGACUGGAGAUCUGACCACUGUAACUACUAUAUCAUGUCUAACUCCCUUCUGAAAUUUCAAGUGAUGCCUAAACGAGAUGACUAGGUUGACAAUACUAGAUGAUACUAUUGCUGACCCCUUCCAUAAUACCCUCUACCUUAUAAUUUUGAACCACUAUAGCUACCCUAUUGGAAUAACCUCUUAUCGCUGCCUUUAUUGGACUCAUGAUGAAUACCCUCUAUAGUUUGAGCAUGAUCAACUAUAUCUAAGAAUGACCAACCCAAAGAUUCCACACUCUUAGUAGCUAGACUGAGCUAAAGUCUUAAACACCUAAGAAAGCAAUACACUCUCUCAUUCUUGGUAGCUAGAAGAAUGCUGGUAUGUAUAGGUAGCUUGUUGAACAAAGCCUCAUACUCAGAUAUGGUCAUAGAACACUGCUACAACCUCAAAAUAUCAUCCUCCUAUUUUUCAUGCAUGCUAGACGCAUAUACCUUCCUAAAAAAACUCCAAAAAGAACUAGGUUCAUGCCAUAGAAGGUGACCCAGCUAGUAUGUACUAAAAAUACACCCUCCACCAAUACCUCACUAAACCAUCAAGCUAAAAUUUAGUGUAAUCCACACCAUGAGAAUCCAGUAGUCCAAGAAUAUGUAACCUCUUCUGACAACUAGUAAGGAAAUCUCGCGAACCCUUCCCUAGAACAACUAAAAACCUCAAAGGAUCCAAUAUAAUAAACCAACCUAGAAUUUUAUGAUCCUUAUAUUUCAUGGUUGGUCAGGCUACCAUUGGAUAGGAAACUAUCGAUGCUGGCAAAACCUCUGCUUCGAGAGCCACAACUGCAUGUUUUACUUCUAUACCUCGUCUAUCCAAUAUUUUUCUUGAGCAAAUAUCAAGGCCCAUCCAUUUACUAAACUCCAAUAAGACUUGAUAAGUGGACUAGAUCAUCUUAUAAAAUUGACGUGGCAAUAAAUUCAAGUAGAGCCUAUCCUGGUACCUAGCCUAUUGGAUGCUUUGGUAGUGGAUCUGCUAGUGCUGGCUACAGAUUAAUAGCUAACUUUGGAACAAUAGAUAGUUUUGAUAUUGUCACCCUAUCUUGGACCAUAAUUUUGCUUGGACCCAACCUCGUCCCCUAGUGGGGACCUUAUCCACAACUUCAGGGGACUCACCCUCACUGAUCAUAGUAAAUCUGAGGUGUAUUUCCAUACCUAAGUAUCAUUAUCUAUGCAUAUUUAUCAUAGUUUUGAGGAUAAAUUUAUAAGCGUAAUGAAGUAGAAAGUGUGUAUUUGUGUGCUAAGUUGUUUUUUUAGAGUGUUUGAGGUGCAUUUUAAAAGAGACAAUAGUCAGAAGGAUCAAAUAGAGUUUAGAUGAAAAAACUAGUUAAACUAGACUAAGCCUUGCUUAUUCUAGUGAACUUUAAUAAACUCUAUUGUGUUGUAUGGACCAAUUAUUGUUAUGAUAUGUUGUAAUAUACCAUUGGAGGAGCUAUGAUAACUAAAUAAAACCUAAAAAUGAGCCACAAUAAGUUGGGAAACAAUGCACAAAUGGAUGAAAAGAUGAGAAUAAAGAUUUCAUGAACCCUCACGGUAAAGAAGGGGCCUUGAGCCGUACCUCCAGGGUGAGGGUAAACUUUCUUGGUUGUGCUAUGGUCCUGCGACAUGCGAUUGGCCAUAUAGUGCUACCCUCCCUAGGACGUUUGAAUAUUGGUUUUUCACCCAUUUAAGUUAAGGGAAAAGGGGUCAAUGCCUAUGGUUCAUUUACGAAAGCUUAUGGAAUACGUAAAUGGAUAUAUAAGGGGUACUGAGCCAUAUUUACAAGCGACUUUUGUAACAAUAAGAGAUUGGAAAAAGGAGAAGGCACCAAAGGCUUAACUCUACAGUUUUUCUUCCUUUAAAUUUGAGUUUCUUGUAGUUUUAUUUUGGAACACUUUAAUGGUAAUUCUUUGUAUGACUAUGAGUGGAUAAACACUCUCUUUCUAGAGUUGAGGAUACAACAUAAUUGUUUAUUUAUGGUUUAUUAGUUUGUGCAUAUGUUUAUCAAGUAAUGUGAUUAUUCAUACAUUCUUUUUUACUUUUCUAAAGAGUCAUGGACAUUAUAAUAAACCUAAGUCCCAAAAUGAAAUUAACAUUAGGAGUGGAGGAAUGAAAUGAACAACAUUGAGAGUGUGGAUCAUAUCAUUAAUUGAUUUAAUACAAAUUUUCAAAGGAUUAUUGCUAUUAGGAUAGAGAUAUACCUAAGCUCCCUGCUUAGGUAAUGAAUUGGGAAGAUAACUUAGUGCAACCAAAUUAGCGACUCACAUCCCCACUUAAUGAUGUUGUUGUGAGACUAAUUUAGGUAGAUGACUUAGAGGGUGAGCAUCCCCAAGUUAUAUUACCAACCUCGUAAUUAAUUUUUGCAAAAAACAUCAACACUAAUUAGAAAUCAUAGUUAUGCAUGAACAUAAACUAGAUGCCUCAACCCUGGAAUUCUACAUAUAUUGCUUACAAUCUAACUUUCACAUCAUUGUUAUUUCUAUUAUUUUGCUUAUAAGAAAACAAAAAUCUAGCUCUUUUUAGUUGCAAAUCACAUUUGUUUAACUUGACUAGUAAUACAAGAAUUGGAUUGUUUGCUAAAUAACAAGUCCUUAUGGGAUCUAUAUUCAACUUGCAAGCAUCGUUUUACUACUUUUUUGACCACGUAAACUUGUAUGUGUGCAAAAAAUUUUUGCGCCAUUAUUGGGGACUUGAAAACAUAGCAACAUACAUAUUUUCAUUUUGCUAUUUUUUUUUAUAAUUCUUGACAACUUGGUGUUAGCUACUAAAUUUUCAGGUACAGGUUUAAAUCUUAAAUAAGUUGGCAAUAGAAAAGGAUUUGGUUGACCAUAUCACAAAACUUGAGUGAUGCUUAUGCUAGUUGAGGAGAGAAAUAACACUUCUUUAUGCAAUCCCAUAAUUUCAGAUUAACAAAACUAUUUCAAUAGUAAUAGGUAAUGAACAACUAGCCUGCCAAAUAGUGGGCAAAGUAGCAUUCCCACUUGCAACAAAUGUGACCUCCAGUAUCCAAAUGUCAUAUGCGGGAGGUAGGUUUGAGACUAAAUAAAACAUGGUGCAAACUUUGCACAUAAGUGUAUAGUUCACAGGGCUUCUACAUGAAGAUCUACAGUUUUAUAUUUAGAAUAUUUUGGAGAUCAAUGACACAUUCAUUCCUAUGAGAGUCUCUACAGAUUACAUGAGGAUCACUCUUUUCCCAUUCUUACUAUUAGGAUAAGAAAAGUUAUGGUUGAAGGAAAAACCUUUAAAUUCAAUUAAAACUUGGGAUGACUCUGCAAAGAAAUUCCUCAUUCCAUUCUUUCCACCAAGGAAAACUGAAAGGUUGCAGAGUGAGAUCUUAAGUUUCAAGCAAAAUCCAGAAGAAACUCCCUAUUAUGGAUGUGAGAGAUUCAAGUAUCUUCUUAGAUGUUUUCCACAUCAUCAUAGACCAAUAAGGUGUUAUCUCAACUUUUGUUUAAUGUCCUAACCAUAAUACAAAAAUAUUUGCUAGAUUCAGCAGCAGGUGGUCAUGCUUUGGAUAGAACCUAUGAUGAGUUGUAUCAUCUUAUAUACGGUAUUAUAUAAGGCAAUACAGAUAGGAAGGGUAAUUCAUAUAGAAGUAUGUUGAAGAAGCCUACAAGUAUGAUCGAGGUAGGUAGUGUCACAACAUUGGCUGCACAGUUGAUCUCUUUACAGAAUCAAAUGAUGACUUAGUGUAGAAAGUUGAGUGUGAGUUAACCUAAUGCCCAAGUUAAUUCAGUUUAGCAGGUUUAAACCUAGUCUAAAAUUUUUGGCAGUAGUGGUCAUUCUGCAAACUUAUAUGGAGCGAAUUUGGAUUUGGUAAAUUUUAUAGGCAAUACACAAAAAGGAAAUAAAAAUUAUGGUAAUUCCUACAAUCAUAACUGACAGGGUUAACUCAACUACUCAUGGGGCAAUAGUUAGGUACAACCUCAUUAGUGUUGGUAGCAACAAGGUAUGUGAACCUACACUCAAGCCUAAAGUAUAGAUGAGACUUUAAAAAAGAUCUUGAUAAACCAAGAACAAAUGGUUGUUGAGUUUAAAAUGUAGUAGUUGGAUCAAAAGAAUUUAGAGAUGCAGUUAGGCUUGUUAGAUUAGACAUAAAAUAUAAGACCUCAUGGGGGUUUGCCUAGUGAGAUAGAAAAUCCAAAGAAAGUAAUGAAAAUCACCUUGAGGAGUGGUAGAUACCUGGUUGAUGAGCCUCUAAAGAAGAAUAAUGAGGUACAAGAAGAAUUAAUCUCUCCAAAGUAGGCAAAAGGUCAAGUGAAAGACAAAAAAACUGACCAAAAUGGGUACUUUGAGUACCGAAUAAAAAGUUGGCUGAGAAAUCUCUAGACAUACCACCAUUACCAGUCUCUGAAAUUCCUAACAAAGACAAAGACGAUUCUUUAUUUAAGUUCUUUAACAUAUUAAAAUACCUUUACACUAACCUACCUCUGUUAGAUAUUUUGUAGGGAAUAUCCAUGUAUGCUAAGUACUUGAAGGAUGCGAUGGAAAAAAAGAAAUCUUAGUGAUAUUGAGGCUAUAUUAAAAUUUAGGUGUGGGACCCAUAUUUGGUUGAAGCAACUUUAGAUGAAGAAUCUGACUUUGCUAUUUUGUCUUAAAUGUCAAAUUUAGUAGGGUUACAUAGUUUAUUUGCACAUAUUAGAUUCUGAAUGAAUCUAUAGGCAUUGCAAAAACUUUGAAAUUUUCCACCUUUCAGCUGUCAACACAGCUGACAACAAGUGCUUUAAUUGCACAAGGGUGGAUGGCAAUUGCCAUACCUUCUCCUAAACUCUAGUAGUGCAAUUACACACCCUGUUGUGUGAUAGCCAUAUCUGAUUACCUGGAAUGGGUAUAAAAUGACCCCUUAGACCGCGUUUUGGUCAUUUUCCACUCAUCCUUGAGAGUCAAGAACCCUAAAAGAGUAUGAUAAGUUUAAAUUGAGUCUUGGGGGGGGGGGGGAGGUAAAUUGUAAUCUUGAUUAACAUAUAUUUUUCCAAAUAUCUUUGUAUUUGAGGUAAGGACCCAUCAACUUCAUGCUUGAAUUUUUUUAGUUUUUGACUAAAACCUCAAAUCCCUUAGAUCUUGAUUUAUCCCUAAACUUAUCUUGGCUUUCACCUAUUUUUAUGGGGUUUUGAUUCCAUGAGGUUGAUAUAAAGUUAUGUUAGUCUCAAAAAUGUGAUUUUUUGUGAGUGGGACCUAUAUGAGGUUUUGGCAUGAUUUUUGGACCCGAAGAAAAAUGGUGCAAUAUGGGUAUUGAUAUUCUUUUAUUGAGGUGUAAAAUGUAUUUUUGAUAAUGUGGAAUCUUGAAGAAUCUUCUAAAAAUGGAAAAGGAAAGAUUUAGUGGAUUAUUGUGCUUCUUCAGCGUUGAGGUUGGUUAGGUUUACCCCUUGUGGGAUUGAGCUAUGUCAUAGUAUAAUUGUGAUAUCUUAUUGGAUUGGGAUGGGUUUUAGGUAUUGGUUUUAUGAUGUGUAAGACUUGGGGUUUGUUGAUUCUUUUAGGUCAUUUGAGACCUCUAGAGUGGAAUGCCUAGUUUGUUGCCUUGAACCUUAAAUGAAUUAGACUUAAUGUCUCAUGUUUAGCGUAAGAAUGCUUAGAAUUACUAUAUCUAGAUAGAAGUGACCUUUUCACUCAUGUUUAGGGAAAGAUUGGAUUUAGUUUCUUACUCUAAUGAAGUUGUUUUAGUUCUAAUGGACAGUGAUAGAACUUGAGUAGAAUCUCUACCUUGGAUUUAGUUGUGACUUGAUAUACAUCUAAAAGUGAAAUUAGAUAUCUUAAGCCUAGUUCGGGUAGAAAUUUGCCAAAAAUGGAACUCAAGGAAUAGAAGCGGACUCUUCACCCUUCAUAGGCUUUGACAUGGUAGUUUUUGUGAAACGUUAUGCUUACUAGAUUCUUGAUUAGUCUUAGUAAGGCAAGGAUGAGAAAUGUUCACACUCAAUCAUUAUGUGGAUAUUUUUUUUUGGAUUAAUUAUAUUUAUUCUAUUGAUGAUGUUAUUAUGAUGAUGGUUAUGAUAUUUAUAACUAGUUCAAUUUUGAGUCUUGUUGAUAUUUAUGAUCGGUUUAGUUUUUAGUCUAAUUGAUAUUUAUGACCGGUUUGAUUCUGAUUCUUAUUGAUAUUUAUGAUCGGUUCAAUUUUGAUUAUUUUUUAUAUUAAUGGUUGAUUUGAUUUUAAUUCUUGAUUAUAUUUAUUCUCGAUUUUAUUUUAGAUGAUGAUUAAAAUACUCUGUGUUGAAAUACAGUAUUAAAAAUGAUGUUGGUCAAUAUUAUGAUGGCUAAUGAUAGAGAUACCUGACUGAUAAAGUUGUAUUUUGUCUAGUUGUUGAGUAAUGCUAGUGAUUAGAGGAAAUCAAUGAAUAACUAGUGCAUUGUGGAAUAGUGUUGGUAAAUUGCUAAGUGAUGGUAAAAUGCCAAAUGGUGUUAAAUUGUAUGAUGAUGGUCAAAUUAUGGUGAUGAUUAGUGUAAAUGAUGUAUGCAUUAAUUAUUCUAUCUUUUUGUGUACUCUCCAAUUGUAUGGGAUGCUAUGAUGAGUUCUUUACAUUCUGCACCAAUUAGAGUAUGGGAGCCAAUUUUGUUACUAUGGUUGCUCUUGUUUGAUCUCUAUGCAUCAUGUCAUUACUAUAAUUUCAAUUUCUGUACUAUUUAUGUACAACAAUGAUAGGGAUGAUUCAAAUUUGAUUUUGUACCUUGAAUUAGUUAUGAUUAUCUUGCAUUAUAUCAUCUUUAUAUCAUGAUUUAACUCAGUCGGUUGAUGAUGCCUACUGAGUACCUAUUAUUAGAGUACUCGUACUAUCCUUUAGUACUUUUUUAUGCAUAUUCGAGUACUAGAAUUCAUUAUUGACUGUUGUUCAUUUAUAGUUGAUAUUUUGGAGACUAGGUGAUCUCUUGGAGUUUUGAGUAGCACAUUUCCUUCUAUUUUAUUUUUAUUAAGUCUUUUGUAUCAAGGAAAAUAUAUUUUCUAUAUUUUGAGUCUUUUGGGUUGUAUUAUAGAAAUUAGAUACUCUUGUACUACCUCUACUAGGUCAUGGGAUUGGUAUUCAUAUGUUGAUUUAUUUAUCUAUUUAGAACACUAUGGUUAUUUAAAGUUGUUUUUAUUUAAUUUGGCCUAUGAUGGGCUUUCCCUAAAAAAUUAACCCAUUGUGUUGGCUCCAGGUUAUGGUAUUGUAUUACCUACUGGCCGGACAUAGUAGGUGCCAUCAUGACUCGUAAAUUAGGCUAUGACAAAUUAGUAUCAGAGCCUAGGUUGCACUGGUAUUAUUGGUACAAGAGCAAGGGUCUAGUAGAGUCUUGCUGAUCAAAACAUUAAUGUCUAUUUCCUAUCUUUAGGAGGCUAUAAGACACUAUUAGGAGUUCUUCACUUCUUUCACUCAUGGCGUGCUAAGAGUUUAAGUUUGUUUGUAGAGGUAUUCCUUUGACUUUACUCUGUUGUAGAUGGCCAGGACAUGUGCUACUACUACAUGAGAUGAGAGUCGUGAGACUAAUCCCUAAGAUCCUUCUCCUGUUCGUAGAUGACCUAGAGGUCAUAGACAACCUCAUGAUGUGUUCCCAGUUAGGGUCUAGUAUAGACCACCUUCCCCAGACCUUAUAUUUGCACUUUACCCAAGACUCUUCUGCCACAACCAAUGGUGGGUCAGGGACCAGCCCAGGCUUAACCAGGGUUUAUUUCUUCUUUAUUACUUAGAGAUGUAUUGAUUCAGCCUUUAUGGAUAGUUGGUGGUGUGCCAUUGAAUAGUGCACAAUCUACUAAUUUGAGUGGUACUGAGCACAUCAUUUAGAGAGACUCCUAGGGUUGAGGUUCCUCGUAUAACAGUAGUUGCUCAACCAGUGGUUGCCUAACCCGCUAUGCCUUCUAAGGAAAAAAGAUAUUGGUUAGAUUCUUGAGGUUGGCUUUACCUGGAUUUAUGGUGCUCCAGGCGAGGAUACGUAAAAUUUUUUGAUUGCUUGUGAGUAUUGGCUUUAUGUUUUAGGACUUAUUGAGACUCGUGGUAUGGUUUACACCAUAUUUAGUUGGACUUGUAUACUCAUCAUUGAUGGAGAGUUUAUGUGGAUUCUAAGUAGCCGAAUCUUCUUCCUUGACUUGGAUUCAAUUUUUUGAGAUAUUUUUAGAGAAGUAUAUGCCUCACAGCAUUAGAGAUUGUUUGAGGGAUCAGUUUUCUAUAUUAGACAAAGGCUCCAUGACAGUUACAGAGUAUGAGGCUUAUUUUCAUGAGUUGGCUAGGAUGCAACUUCUAUUCUGGACAAUGAGUAUAAGAAGGUUCAUUGCUUUGUUAGAGGGUUUAGACUCCUUAUUCGUAUGUCUACUCAGGGCUUAGUCAUUGCAGGUGGAUCAUUUGUUGAUGUUUCAGAUCAUGCUGGAGUAAUGGAGAAGAUACAUCAUAAGGCCUAAGGGGUCAACGAUAAGAGGGAUAGAUAUCAGACAACUUCAUUGGGAGCCAUAUUAGUACUAGAUUUAGAGGUAGUAGUUCUUAUUAUGAGUAUUCUCUGUAUCAAUUCUAGUAGCCUCAGAGUCAACCUAGUUAGCCAGUUUAGAAAGCUCUUCAGAUUAUUGACGGAUGUCAGUCUAGUGCCAGUGAUUUCCCUAGUCAGGGCAGUGGGUAAUCUUCUAAGGGUUGUUCCUCUAGUUAUUCUAGUUGUAGUGGUUAUUCUGGCUCAACUGGAUCUAUGGGUUCUGGUUUAGCUUAGAGGAUGUGUUAUGUCUGUGGGCCUUUUGAUCAUUUUUUGCAUUAGUGCCCUAGUCAUAGGGAGAUUAUUGUUCAGCACAUGAGUGCUUCCCCUCUUAGAGAAGUUAAUUCCUCAGCUAGAGGUGGUUCUCAAGGUAGUAGGGGUGGUUCCCCGGGUACUAAAGAAGGUUCUCAGGUACGUCGUAUAGGAGGUCGAUUAAGUGCCCAACCAGGGGGCAGACGUGGUUAGUUGUAUGUAAUACCUGCUAGACCCGAGGCUGAGACUUCAAUGCUAUUGUUACAAAUAUUAUUUUUAUGUGCCGUCAGUUGGUGCUUUCUUUAUUUGAUCAGGGAUCCACUUAUUCUAAUAUUUCUACUUAAUAUGCACCACUGUUGGAGUUCUCUUGCGAUUCAUUAUCUUUGCCAUUACAUGUAUCUUCUCUUAUAUGUGAUUCUUUAGUGGUGUAUUAAGUAAUCAGAUCAUAUGUUAUGCCAGUUAGUGAUUUUGAUACUUAUGCUAAUCUUAUUAUUAUUGAUAUGGUAGAUUUUGAAGUGAUUCUAGGCAUGGACUGGUUACCCCACCAUCAUGCGGUCAUGGAUUGUUUUGCGAAGACCGUUACCUUAUAUAUGCUUAGUAUACCCCCAAUCAUGUGGAAGGGAGCUAUUAUCCGCAUGAGGAUGGGUAUUAUCUCUUAAAUGUGCGCUAUUCGACUUAUUUCAAGAGGUUACGAGUCUUAUCUCACUUAUAUUUGUGAUACUAGGGUGGAGAGUCCAUCGUUAUACUCUAUUCUUGUUGUUUAUGAGUUUUCUAAUGUGUUCCCUACCAACCUUCUUGGUAUUCCCCCUGUUUGUGAGAUUGAUUUUGCUAUUGAUCUCGAGCUUGGCACUCAACCUAUUUCUAUGGUAGCUUACCGUAUGGCUUCUACCAAGAUUAAGGAACUAAAUUCUUAGUUUCAAGAUCAUCUUGGUACGGGUUUUAUUAGAUCGAGUGGCUCCCCUUGGUGAGCUCUAGUAUUGUUUGUGAAAAAGAAAGAUGGUUCCACGCAUAUGUGCAUCGACUAUAGGCAGCUAAAUAAGGUGACAAUAAAGAAUUGUUGUCCUAUGCCUCGCAUUGAUGAUUUACUUGACCAACUUAAGGGUGCAUCCAUGUUUUUUAUGAUUAAUCUAAGGUCUGGUUAUCAUCAGUUGAGGAUUCGGGCUGAGUAUGUACCAAAGACAACUUUUAGGACCCAUUAUGAUCAUUAUGAGUUCUUAGUGAUGUCUUUUGGGUUGACUAAUUCCCCAACAACAUUCAUAGACUUAAUGAACCGAUUGUUUAUGCCUUAUUUGGAAUCCUUUGUUAUUGUCUUCAUUGAUGACUUCCUUGUGUAUUUGAGGAGUAGUGAGGAGCAUGUGCAACAUUUGAGGAUUGUGCUCCAGACCUUGAGGGAUCAUUUUCUUUUAGCCAAUGUAACACCCCAAAAUCUCCUCCCGAAACGUCACAUGGUGCUUAAGGAUACAAGUUUCCCCAAGCUAACCCUUUGAGCCUGUUACUACAUAUGAUAACUUAUUUGGAGAAGAAAUAAACAAAACACUGGCACUGUCAUAUCAAAUGAUAGAAAAUACGAAGAAAAUACUCGGUCUAAACGACCACAUUCCUGGAAAUCUCAAUAUACUAACAAUUUGACACCUAGUCUGACAAAGCCUCUACUACUAAAGUCUACUAGAGAGCCAUUGGGACAGGUCCCCAACUGACUCAAACUGAACUGACAGCAAUAAUAUGUCUAGUAAACCACUGAAAUAUCUGAAGAUAGGUCCUCGAACCAUGGGGCCUCAUCACUAUAGAGAUGUAGACAAAGGUACUCAAAAAUCACUAACGAGGUUGGGACUGAGCACCUGAACCUAUAUUAUAAAACAAUGUAGCAUAUAGACGUAUAUGUGGAUCAACACUUAGGAAUGUCCUGAGUAUAGGGGGUGUAUACCUGUACAUAAAACAAUAUUCAUGCUCUUUAAUCAAUUCUUGCAUAGAAAUAUGAAUGACUCACGUAGCUUGAAUACAUCUACAAUAUAAAGCUCAUAAAUCAUGUAGAAUGAAGCAUGUAACACAAAUCUCGUGAGUCAUUAUACUUUAGCUUUAAAAUCUGAACUCUUCUCUUAUUCUCAUUACUCGUAGACAAAAGAAAGCUUUAAACAAUACUUUCAAACUCAUGCAUAUAUCUCAUGGAGAGUAAAGCUUCUUUGAUGCUCAAGAACUUAGAACUCUUUUAGACUCAAGACACUUAGAACUCGAAAUUAUAUAACUCUUACUAGUAGAGAAAACUACUUUUUUCUUAGGAAAAUUUUACUUCAUGAAACUAUUAUGAAAAUCUUACUAUUUGGGGAAAUCACUUAUCUCAAAGCUUUAGGGAAAAUAUUCUAUCUCAAGGGACAUACUUUAGGAACUACUCUAAAAAUCUUACUAUUAGGGAAAAAUACUCAAAAGCUGUUUAUUUACUUUUUAUUAGCAGGGAGGUUCUCUUAACCGACAUAAACUAUGCAAGCUACAUAGUGUCCAACGUCUCAUCCUCCUAAGGAAGAAACCUCACAUUGGGGAGAGGAUUCAUACUCUUGACAGGGAGUAUAACCUCAACUCAGUGAUCACUUAUCUCGGCCUCAGGCCCAUAAAUCUCAAUCCUAUGGUGGCACGUAGUUCUGGGGUAUGAAACCAUAGUAACUUACCCAAGUCGGUGCUAAAUAUUGCUCCCUCCAGUUAGCUAUGCUCAUAUUAGGGAAAUCCACUUUACAAUAAUCUCAUGGUUCAUAAGAACCCAACUAUAAAAUCUAUAGUCUCAUUUGGUAAAGUGGAUUUCAAAGCUACUGUGAUCAUUAAGUUUAAAACUUUCUCAAUGAUCUCAAUACACAAAUCAUGGGUGAUUAUAGCACAAAAGUUUAUAAAACCUGAAAUCUCAAGUAGGGUUUAAUGACCCAUAAUCAAAUCUCAGGUUAAGACUCAUCAAAAUGCAUACUAGAUGUCAUAAGGAUACACAAAUCAUAUAGAAAUCUGGAAUGUUUAGCAAUUUGUCUUAAAAUCUAAACAUACUCAUGUAUUUCAAUUUAUAUAACAUUGGCAAAUCUCAAAAUCUCAUGCAUAGUAAGAUUGAGUAUGAACCCACACUUCAAAUUCAUAGGAGAAAUCAUAAAGUCAUGUAUCUUUGUAAUUUAAAACAAGUUUUGGGCACAAGGAUGAAAGAAUUGUCCCUGUUCAAACCGCACAUCCUUAGAUUGUGAAACUAGAUGAACAAACUUUCUUGCAACUCUUCUUAUUACAAUUUGAGAGAGGGUUCUUAAAGCCUUGGACUUGAGGAACUCAAAUCUCAACUCAAUUUGUAGAAUCUAUGGUGAGUUCUUGAAUUUCUUGGAGAAGGGUUUUGGGUUUGUUCUUGAGGAAGAAACCCUAGCCUUUGGAUGUUUUGGGAGAUAAUGAAGUCAUAUACUUCAUUUUUCAUAUAUCUAAGUGUUAAAAGGGGAAAAGACCAAAAGUUAUUUUAAAAAUUACAUAAAUAUAAUGAAUGGGAUUUUCGACGGUCGGAGUGAUGGUCCGUCGCUAGUUUGACGAUCCGUCGGAUCAUCUGUCGCACGUUGGUCAGAAAAAGGCCACACUGCCUUAGUUGCGACAGCCAUAGCGAUGGUCCAUUGCUAGCUUGAUGGUUCGUCGUCCUGGCCACCAUACUUAGGCUAGAAGAGGGAGUCAUUACCUUGGUUACAAUGGUUCGGGCGAUGCUCUAUCGCAAACUGACGGUUUGUCAACCUGUCCGUCGCACCUGGGAGGUUCCGAAAACUCUCAAUAAAAUAGCCAUAACUUCUCACCCCAAUACUGGAUUUGGACGAAAUUGGUAUCAUUGAAAAGCUAAUUCAAUUCUAUACAUGACAAAAAUUUGAUAUUAGGAAAAUUCUACAUGAUUUAAAAAAAUUUUCAUUUGGGAAGUCAGCCUUUACUCUUCUUAAAGAUAAAACUCGACUUAAAGAAAAUCCAGGGUAUUACAAUAUCUCCCCCUUGGGAACAUUCUUCCUUCAAUGUCGCUUGUUAGACCAAGAACACAAGAAAAAUUGAGUACACAUAGCUAAAGCAAUUUGCUAAAUGGCUCAAAAUCUUUCUAAACUCUUGAAUACUUCAGAAAUUUCAAGAACUCAUUCACGAAUAGAUAUUUUGCUGAACUUUAGAUUAGAAGGCUGAAUAUAGGAAGAAUAAUACCUUCAGCUUGAUUUGAACUCGCGGAGAAGAUGUGUGGGUACUAGGCUCGCAUGUAUGCUUUUGCCUCCCAAGUAGCACCCUCAACUGACUAGUCUCGCCAUAAAACUUUGACCAAGGGAACCUCUUUGUUCCUCAGUCUACGGAUCUAAAAAUCUUAGAUCUCAACAGGAAUCUCAUCGAAUGAAAGAUUGUUCUGAAUAUCAGCACUCUCUGAAGGAUCCACUACAACGGAAUCACCAAUAUGCUUCUUAAGCAUGGAGACAUGAAAAAUAGGAUGAACACUACAGCUUCACCCACUUCAAACCAACCUAUGGGUGAUCUAUAUCUUCUACCUUAUAAAGCCUCAAAUAGUGCCAUCUCAAUGCUAACAUAGUAACUAUUAUUAUAAGCAAACUUUAUCAAUGGAAAAUUCUCAUCCCAACUACCUUUGAAGUCAAGAGCACAUGCCCUCAACAUAUCUUCUAGAGUCUGAAUGGUCCUCUCAGCCUAACCAUCUUUCUGCAAAUGAAAGCGAAACUCAAAUAAACUUGGGUACCAAGACCUUGCUGAAAUGCUCUCCAAAAUUGAGAAGCGAACUGAGCACCCGUAUAUGAAAUGAUAGACAAAGAAACUCCAUCCAACCUGACUUGCUCCCGGAUAUACAAUCUAGCAUAAUCCUCAAUUGUAUAGGAUGCAUGCACGGGCAAGAAAUGGGCGGACUUAGUCAGCCUAUCUACAACAACCCAAACAGAAUCAUGAUGAUGACUCAAAAAAGGCAAACCAGUCACGAAGUCCAUAUUCACCACUUACAACUUCUAAGUGGGUAUACCAAACUCUUGGAUCACACUACUAGGUGUUUGGUGUUCUACCUUAACCUAUUGGCAUGUUGCAUACUUUGUUAUAAACUCAGCUAUAUUCUUCUUCAUACCACUCCACCAAUAGAUUUCCCGUAAGUCGUGGUACAUCUUGGUAGCACCGAGAUGAAUAAAAUACCAUGCGCCAUACGCUUCAUCCAUAAUGCUCUGCCUCAAAUCAUCAACACAGAACACACAAUCUACCCUACAAUCUCAAUACGCCAUCUCCCCUUGGAAGAAAACCUCUAACUUUUGGUCCUUAACUGACUCCUUCAGUCUGACCAAACUAGGAUCGCUUUCUUGCUUUUCCUUCACUUGCAAAACUAAAGAGGAUUCAGAACUACUCUGUCCUAAAGUACUUCCCUCAGCAGAAUCAAGCAACCAACAGCCAAUCUAGCCAGACGUGCAUAUCAUGAGCUAACUCUUUCUUACCUUAUUCCAUAUGAGUAACACUACCCAUGGACAACCUGCUAAGGGCAUCUGCCACUACAUUAGCCUUACUCAGGUGAUACAACACACUCAUAUCAUAGUCUUUUAACAACUUUAACCACCUCUUCUACCUAAUAUUCAACUCCCUCUGGGUAAACACAUACUGUAGGAUCUUAUGAUUAGUUAACACAUCAACAUGAACACUAUAAAGAUAGUGUCUCAAGAUUUUCAAAGCAAAGACCACAACAGCUAAUUUAAGAUUAUGGGUCGGGCAGUUUUUUUCAUGCGGCUUCAACUGUCUAGAGGCAUAGGCUAUAACCUUACCUCUUUGAAUCAACACACAACCCAAACAAACACUAGAGGCAUCAUAAUACAGUACAAAACCGUCUAUACCAUCAGGAAAAGCCAACACAAGGCCUAAAGUAAUUUGAGUCUUUAACUCCUGAAAACACUUCUCAUAGGAAUCAGACCACUGGAACUUAACUCUCUUUUAGGUCAAACGAGUCAUGAGAGAUGGAAUAUAAGAGAAACCUUCAACAAAAUGGUGAUAGUAGCAAGCUAGAACCAAGAAACUUCUAAUUUCAGAUGGGCAAAUAGGUCUAGGCUAAUUUCUUACAGCUUUUGUCUUUUGGAGAUCAACUCUAAUGCCUUUGGCUAAAAUGAUAUGACCCAGAAAAGCUACUGAUCUUAGCCAAAAUUCACACAUACUGAAUUUGGCGAACAACUGGUAAUCUCUAAGACUUUGCAAGACAAUUCUAAGGUGAUCUGCAUGGUCGUUCUCAGUAGGGGAGUACACAAGGAUGUCAUCUAUGAAAACAAUGACAAACAUAUCAAGAUAUUUCUUGAAAACUCAAUUUAUGAGGUUCAUAAAGGCUGCUAGGGCAUUGGUUAGCCCGAAUGACAUGACUAGAAACUCAAAGUGACCAUAGAGGCUUCGAAAGGCUGUCUUUGGAAUAUCACAUUCCUUCACUUUAAGUUGAUGAUAGCCGGAUGUAAGCUCUAUCUUAGAGAAAUACCUUGUACCUUGUAACUGAUCAAACAGGUCAUCAAUUCUCAGAAGAGGAUACUUAUUUUUGAUUGUGACCUUGUUAAACGGACGAUAGUCAAUGCACAUAUGCAAUGAACCAUCUUUCUUUCACACGAAUAGAAUAGGUGACAGUCUAUUGAAAAUUCGAUGGUCCGUCAACCUGUUCGUCGUACCUGGAUGGUUUUGAUAACUCUUAGUAAAAUGACCAUAACUUCACACCUCGAUAUUGAAUUUGGAUGAAAUUGGUAUCAUUGGAAAGAUAAUUCAGUUCUCUAAAUGACAAAAAGUCUAUAUUAGGGAAAUUCUAUGUGGUUUAAAAUAUUUCUCACUUGGGAAGUCAACCCUUACUCUUUUUAAAGAUGAAACUCGACUUAAAGAAAAUCUGGGGUAUUACAGCCAAGUUUCCUAAGUGUGAGUUUUGUCUUGAGUCACUGAUAUUCCUUUGACAUGUGGUGUCUAAAGAAGGGAUUCUAGUAGACCUAUCCAAUAUAGAGGCAAUUUGUGAUUGGGCUAGACCUACAUCUCUGAAUAAAGUUUGUAGCUUCAUUAGGUUGACUGGUUAUUAUAGAUGAUUCAUCGAGGGUUUUACUACUAUUUAAUACCCUAUGACCAGAUUAACUCAGAAGGACCUAGUAGUGUCCUGUGGAUCGAUGCCGAGAUAUCUUUAACCUACUUUUUGGAGGCUACAACACAUUCUUUGGAAAUUUUGUUCUUGAAUCCUUGUCUUGUGACCAUAUUUCUAUGUGCCUAAAGUAUGUUCCUUAACUCUAUUCUAUCCUAAAUAAAUGAUGUGAGAUUGUCGAUAGAGGUGAAUGGGACUUCGACAUGCAUUUCCAAAUCUUUAGUACAAUGUCAGACUAGGGAGUCAGGGAUGGAUUUCAUAGAUCUUCAUCGUUAAUUGGAGGAUUUAUAGAAAACCCAGGGUUCAGUGAAGCUCGUGACUGCAUUAACCAUUAGACAUUUAGCAUUGGGAUCCCUAAAUCUUUUUGUAGAUACCUUAUAGCUAGGGAUGAUAUUUAGUUCAAGGAGUACUUUUCAUGCUAGAGUUAGGAUGUUGGUGCUUAUUAGGGUUCCUUUUCAGUUUCAGAGUAUGAGAGUAGUUUUUGUCAUAAUCUAAUUUAUGAGCCAUGAUGGAACAUGCGCUAUCCUGCUAGUAGGUAAGCCAAACUAUAGCUCAGAACUAUAUGCAAUGGGUUAAAUCCAUGGAAUAUGGCCUAAAAUCUAGAAAUUAAACAUUAAAGACUUAAAUUGCGCAGUCAUAAUGAUACAAAAGAUAGCCAGGAAAUCAACCACCAUACCAAGACUCAGUAAUACUAUUAUAGGAGCUACUACAAAUGAACUAUGAGUACAACAACAACAACAACAAACCCAGUGUGUUCCCACCUAGUGGGGUCUGAGGGGGGUAAGAUGUACGCAGUCCAUACCUCUACCUCUGAUGAAGUAGAAAGGCUAUUUUCGAUAGACCCCCGGCUCAAGACACGAGAUGCCACACAAACACAUAGUAAAACACAGAAGCAGAUUACAUAACAUAAAUACGGCACCCAUAAGUAAUAUAAAACAGAGGAAAGCAACGGAAAGCACACAGAUUCGCAAUAAAACAUGGAACACGGAAGACGGAAUCAUAACAGGAAUAAAACCCCCACCAAGUAAUUCCCNNNNNNNNNNNNNNNNNNNNNNNNNNNNNNNNNNNNNNNNNNNNNNNNNNNNNNNNNNNNNNNNNNNNNNNNNNNNNNNNNNNNNNNNNNNNNNNNNNNNNNNNNNNNNNNNNNNNNNNNNNNNNNNNNNNNNNNGCCUACCCCUCCCCCGCCUAAACCCAUCCAACGCUAGCCUCUCGCACCUACGGAUCGGGGCAUCCAUACCCCUCCUCUUCACGUGUCCAAACCAUCUCAAUCGUGCUUCCCGCAUCUUGCACUCCACUGAAGUCACACCAACCUUCUCCCGGAUAGUCUCAUUCUGAACUCUAUCCCCUCUAGUCAGUCCACACAUCCAGCGCAACAUCCGCAUUUCUGCCACCUUCAUUUUUUGGAUGUGGGAGUUCUUAACUGGCCAACACUCCGCUCCAUACAACAAGGCCGGACGAACUACCACCCUGUAGAAUUUGCCUUUAAGCUUGGGCGGCACCUUCUUAUCACACAGCACCCCCGACGCGAGUUUCCACUUCAUCNNNNNNNNNNNNNNNNNNNNNNNNNNNNNNNNNNNNNNNNNNNNNNNNNNNNNNNNNNNNNNNNNNNNNNNNNNNNNNNNNNNNNNNNNNNNNNNNNNNNNNNNNNNNNNNNNNNNNNNNNNNNNNNNNNNNNNNNNNNNNNNNNNNNNNNNNNNNNNNNNNNNNNNNNNNNNNNNNNNNNNNNNNNNNNNNNNNNNNNNNNNNNNNNNNNNNNNNNNNNNNNNNNNNNNNNNNNNNNNNNNNNNNNNNNNNNNNNNNNNNNNNNNNNNNNNNNNNNNNNNNNNNNNNNNNNNNNNNNNNNNNNNNNNNNNNNNNNNNNNNNNNNNNNNNNNNNNNNNNNNNNNNNNNNNNNNNNNNNNNNNNNNNNNNNNNNNNNNNNNNNNNNNNNNNNNNNNNNNNNNNNNNNNNNNNNNNNNNNNNNNNNNNNNNNNNNNNNNNNNNNNNNNNNNNNNNNNNNNNNNNNNNNNNNNNNNNNNNNNNNNNNNNNNNNNNNNNNNNNNNNNNNNNNNNNNNNNNNNNNNNNNNNNNNNNNNNNNNNNNNNNNNNNNNNNNNNNNNNNNNNNNNNNNNNNNNNNNNNNNNNNNNNNNNNNNNNNNNNNNNNNNNNNNNNNNNNNNNNNNNNNNNNNNNNNNNNNNNNNNNNNNNNNNNNNNNNNNNNNNNNNNNNNNNNNNNNNNNNNNNNNNNNNNNNNNNNNNNNNNNNNNNNNNNNNNNNNNNNNNNNNNNNNNNNNNNNNNNNNNNNNNNNNNNNNNNNNNNNNNNNNNNNNNNNNNNNNNNNNNNNNNNNNNNNNNNNNNNNNNNNNNNNNNNNNNNNNNNNNNNNNNNNNNNNNNNNNNNNNNNNNNNNNNNNNNNNNNNNNNNNNNNNNNNNNNNNNNNNNNNNNNNNNNNNNNNNNNNNNNNNNNNNNNNNNNNNNNNNNNNNNNNNNNNNNNNNNNNNNNNNNNNNNNNNNNNNNNNNNNNNNNNNNNNNNNNNNNNNNNNNNNNNNNNNNNNNNNNNNNNNNNNNNNNNNNNNNNNNNNNNNNNNNNNNNNNNNNNNNNNNNNNNNNNNNNNNNNNNNNNNNNNNNNNNNNNNNNNNNNNNNNNNNNNNNNNNNNNNNNNNNNNNNNNNNNNNNNNNNNNNNNNNNNNNNNNNNNNNNNNNNNNNNNNNNNNNNNNNNNNNNNCCCUUCGUCAUUCAAGAGCCUAUGAAAAUACGACUGCCAUCUCUUCUUAAUGUGGCCGUCCUCCACCAACACUCUACCGUCCUCCCCCUUAAUGCACCUUACCUGAUCGAGGUCACGAGCCUUCCUCUCCGUAGCCUUAGCGAGUCUAAACAACUUUUUCUCCCCUCCUUUCUCCUGUAACCCUGCAUACAAGCUCUCAAAAGCGGCCAUCUUAGCUGUCGUGACUGCUGACUUCGCCUCCUUCCUCGCUAGCUUGUGCUCUUUCCUGUUUACCUGCUACUCCUCUUCGUCCUUACUAUCCACUAACUUAGCAUACGCCCCUUUCUUGGUCCCCACUUUCUUCUCCACCUCUUCAUUCCACCACCAAUCCCCCCGACGGUGCCCGGCCCGGCCCCUAGAAACACCCAACACCUCACUUGCAUUCUCCCUGAUGCACCUUGCCGCCCUGUCCCACAUACUAUCCACGUCCCCCUACACUUCCACACCCCCAUUCCCGCCAACCUCUC
rnacentral:lncRNA from 1 species